rnacentral:lncRNA from 1 species
CCCGCCUCCUCCCACGGCAAACUUGGUCGACGGACGGGAUCCUACUCCUUCUGUUUGCAUGUGAACACUGUCAUGCCCCCCUGAACGAGGUGUGCAGAAAAUCGUCAGGGCCUUAUCAUACUGUAGUUUACUUUUCCUCAAGGUGCUCGUCGCCGCCAUACUGCGGUUUGCUAUGAGUUGUUCUUCCGGUUGAAUUUGCAAGUUUUUUCCAGUUAAUUUUUAAAAGGAAAUCAGUUCCUUUUCCUGAGGUGUGCAGUUUACUUGUGAAUAUUUCCAUGUAAUUUUGCACUUAGUCUUGUAGUGCACUUGAUGCGGUAAGCUCUGAUCGUGCCCGCAGUUUAGAUGGGAGCUUAAUGAGGUUCACAUUCAAAUGUACUGCUCAACAGUGGUUCAGCAGCUCAUGCCGUGCAGCUCGGUUUGCAGAAGCAUGCGGUUUGGUGUAUCUCCGCGUGCAACUCGGGGGUGUGCAGGCGUAUAGUUUGUUCAUGGGUGUUUUUUUAAGUUAGAUGAAACUGCAAGUUGUGCAUCCUGGGGGUUUGAUGUGUGUGCGGCAUUGACCAUGCAGUACUCGGAUGUACACAUGUCUCUUGCAGUUAGGAAAGCGUGUGAGUGCAGUACGACAUGUAAUUUCUGGGGGGUUGCAUUUUUCUUCUGAUUUUGUUGUGCCAUGCGAUGUGUGGUUCUUGGAUGUACUUAUUUUCAAGGUACUAUUGUUUCUGUCUAGAAGUUCAUUUCAUCAUUCUCAAGCGGUUCAUUUGAAGAAAGAAAAAGAUAGUUAGAAAAAGAAACUAAUGCAGUACACUAGCCUCUACUCUGGAGUUCGGACGCGUUAACACAAAAACGAAAAAAGACAAAAAUAGAAGAAUGCAAUGCACUAGUCUCUACUCUAGAGUUCGGACGUGUUUCAUCAUUAUCAAGCGGUUCAUUUUGAAGAAAGAAAAGGAUAGUUAGAAAAAGAAACUAAUGCAGUACACUAGCCUCUACUCUGGAGUUCGGACGCGUUAACACAAAAAAUAAAAAAAUGACAAAAAUAGAAGAAUGCAGUGCGGCUCGCCACUACAGUCCCAAAACAUGUGAAAAACACUCUCCCAAAAAAAUGUGUAACAUGAAAAAGUCAACAGUAACUCAUGCGGUUCACAAAGUGCAAAAAAAGUUUGUGAAAGUGAAAAUGAAAAAAUGUGUUAUGAUGUGAUUCACUUGCCCUAGUAUAUGCGGUCCACUCUCGUUCAUAAAAAAAGUAAAAAACAACAACAAAAACUUGUAUGAGAAAAAUAACGUCCGACAAAAGAAAUUAUGCAGCUCGCUUGCCCAUCUGAUGCAGUGCGGUUUUCAUUCUGAAGCAGUGCGGUCGGCCGUAUGAUGUUGUUCAUCUCGUAAGUGCAAAAAAAUGUUACGAAAGCGAAAAAAAGUAAUGCGGUUCACUUCUUGAUAGUGUUGUGGUUCAUUUACACCUGAUGUGAAGUGCACUUUACUUUCUCGCCUUGAAAAAAAUGCGUUUGAAUAAAAUAAAUCAUGCAGUUCUCUAACACAUCUGAUGUAGUGUGGUUUUUUCGUCCGAUGCAGUGCAGUUUUCAGUCGGAUGAAGUACCCACGUCGAUUUGGGUGUUGCGAAAAACAGAGUGUCCGCAUUUCGGUAAAUUUAAAAAUGCUCUUAAAAUGUAAGGAGUUAGAGAGAGUUUUCUACAUGAAAAAGUUGUGUCUCGUCGAUAUCUUUCCAACGGAAUAUCAUUUGAAUCAUUUCGACGACCGAUUUGUAAAAAUUUCGCGAAAAACGGCCGCUGCCACUUGUUGUCUGCCACACGAUUUUCAAAAUUAACUUAAAACUGUAAGGAAUCUCAAAACCAUUUCUACAUGUGAAAGUUGCAUUUGUCCAUAGCUUUCCAAUGACAUAUUACACGCCUCCUUUUGACAAACAGUUAAAAAACUAGAGCGAAAAGAGUACCGAAAAUUUGAAAAACAAAAUUCUGUGAUUUAGUAAAUUUGAAACUGCUCUUAAACCGUAACGAAUUAGAGAAAGAAAUAGAUAUGAAAAAGAUGCACCUCGACGAUGUCUAUCCAACCGUGUAUCAUUCGCUUCAUUCCGAUGAGCGGUUUAGAAAAAAAUGCGAAAAAACGCUCGCUGGCACUCGUUGUGGGCCGCACCAUUUUCAAAACUGCUCUUAAACUGAGAGGAAUCUCGAAAAGUGUUCAACAUGGCGAAGUUGCGCCUAAUCCAUAGGUUUUCAACGAUAUAUUACACGCAUCGUUUCGACAAACGGUUAAAAAACUAGAGCGAAAACAGUACCAGAAAAAACACUGCGUGGAGUUUUUUGCCACGGGAAGUUCACUCGCCUCAGUACUGCAGCAAACUUGGUUCAAACAAUGACGUGCACUUACGUUGAGCGUGCAGUGCUGAAGUGUUAUCCGAAUUACUAUUCUGAUAAUAUUAUCAGAAUAGACCGACUUUCUAUAUAUAUAGGAUGGGUCUAUUAUGAUAACACCCUCAAGAGUCUUAUUAUGAUAACGCCGGAGCUUAGAGCAUUACUAGUAGUACCCCUAAACCCUCAAACCCUCAAAAAUAACCGCUUUUUUACGGGUUGAGACAAAAAAAUCGCAAAGAAUAGAACCCCUUAACCCUUAAACCCUUAAAUUUUUUUAGAGGCUCAACCCCUAUACCCCUUCCCGGCCUGUAGAAACAGGGGUUGGUAGCCCAACCCCUCGUCGACCCGGUUUCCUCUUCGCGCGUGAGGUAGUUUCGCGCGGGAGGGAGUUUUCAGCUCCCUCCCCAGAUCUGCCGCCCUGCCGCCCGCCUCCGGCCGCGCUCCGGCUGCCCUGCCCGCCUUCGGCCANNNNNNNNNNNNNNNNNNNNNNNNNNNNNNNNNNNNNNNNNNNNNNNNNNNNNNNNNNNNNNNNNNNNNNNNNNNNNNNNNNNNNNNNNNNNNNNNNNNNNNNNNNNNNNNNNNNNNNNNNNNNNNNNNNNNNNNNNNNNNNNNNNNNNNNNNNNNNNNNNNNNNNNNNNNNNNNNNNNNNNNNNNNNNNNNNNNNNNNNNNNNNNNNNNNNNNNNNNNNNNNNNNNNNNNNNNNNNNNNNNNNNNNNNNNNNNNNNNNNNNNNNNNNNNNNNNNNNNNNNNNNNNNNNNNNNNNNNNNNNNNNNNNNNNNNNNNNNNNNNNNNNNNNNNNNNNNNNNNNNNNNNNNNNNNNNNNNNNNNNNNNNNNNNNNNNNNNNNNNNNNNNNNNNNNNNNNNNNNNNNNNNNNNNNNNNNNNNNNNNNNNNNNNNNNNNNNNNNNNNNNNNNNNNNNNNNGCCCUCCCGCCCUGCCCCGGCCGCCGACGCCGCCUCGUCCGAGAGGUGAGGUUUUUUCAUUUUUUUCAUUUUUUUCAUUUUCUUUUUGUUUCAUUUUUAGCACUAAUGAGUGAAUGUCCUUUGCAGAUGGAGAUGAACAAUGAGGAGAUUGUCAUGUUCGAUUCGUCGGAUUGGUCGACAUCUGACGAUUCCGACAUUGAGGAGUUGUUGCAAGAUGACGACGUCGAGAUGAUGAGCCUCCUCAUCGACGUGCAAUCGUUUGAAAACCGCGUGAAGCUGAUGGAUCAGAGGAGAGGGUCGAAGAUGGGCCGAGUCACCAUCUACCGGAACCGCGCUCUCGGACACGAACAUUUGAUGGAAGACUACUUCUCCGAGGUACCUACAUACCCUCCUCGUCUCUUCCGCAGAAGGUACCGAAUGCGGCGUAGUUUGUUUGUGAAGAUUGUCACCGAUUGUGAGGCCGCCUCAUAUUACUUUUCUAUGUCCUAUUUGAUUCGAACAAUUAGUGUUAUUUGCUCAAACAUUGUUGUAAUAAUUUGAAUGAUUAUUGUUUUAUUCGGUGUUGUAAUAAUAACUAGAAUGAUUAUUGUUUUAUGUCAAUUGUGAUGGAAUUUGUGAUAUGUCCUAUGAUGAAAUGUGAUGAAAUGUGUGAUAUAUGAAAUGACAGUUUUAAAGGUUGGGGUUGAGGCAAAGACUAGAACCCUCAAAUCCAACCCUUAAAGCAGUUUACGGGUUGGGUUUGAGGGUUCUAGUCUUUGCCCCUGUUUUUCAACCCUUAAAAGUGUCAAAAACUGGCACUUCUCAACCCUUAAAACUGCUACAAGGGUUUGAGGGUUUGAGGGUUUUACUAGUAAUGCUCUUAUUCUGAUAACACUCGCGAGCCGACCCGUAGCUACAAAUUGACCCCAAAAGCAAUGGUGCCGAACUGCUCACGUAAAAUAAAACCCCUGCCUUAUCCUCUCGUGCCCACUCCCUCUGUCUCUCCACGACCCCGCCCAUCCCGCAACCUCCGAUGUGGCGCCGCGCAGCUACCCUCCCCGCGCCGCCGAACCGCCACCUACCCUGCUCCCCCGCGCCGCCAACCUCCCCUGCGGCCACCACCGCACUCCUACCCCGCGCCGCUCCGCGCCAUCUACACCCGCGCCACCGCGCCACCACCCUCCCCCGCGGCCACCAACAAACCCCUCCCCGGCGCCGGAUCCGGCGGGAUCCGCACUGCCCCGCGCUGAUCUCAGUGGACAACGAUGGAGGGCGGCGGCACCUGGACAGCAGCGACGGCGGCGGCCUCCACCAGCCACCACGGUGGAGGGCCAACGCGGCAGAGGGCCACACCGACCUUCGCCUCGCCUCGAUCUAUAGGGCGCGGCGCCCUUCCCCUCCCCUCGAAGUUUUGGGGCGCCAACGACCUAGCACGGGACCCGCCGCCACCCCGCCCGACAUCGCAUUCCUCACCUCGGCUAGCCGGAGGGCCUCUGCUCCUCUAUCCAGCGCCGACCAUGGAGUUGACGGGGCCAGUUCGCCCCCGCGCCGCGUGUGAUUCGGCGAUGCCCUCACCACACCGUGACAUCCACCUCCCCUUCUCUUCGGCCGCCAUGGCGACCUGCAGUGGGCCUCGACAGCGACCUUGGUGGGGAGGGCGGCAGCGUUCCCGGGCUCAUGCAACUACUGCCCCCAAUCCCAUCCAGCUCCCCUCGUCCUCGCCCCCGAGCAGCAGCGCGGUGGUUGCCGCUAGACCCCUCCGCGUGCAGUUCUCUUGCCACGGAGUCGCGGUAGCGGCAGGGCAUCGACCACCAGGACUGCAUCCUACCACCACGACGUCUUUCGCAAUCCCUCCUCAUUCCAACAACGGCAGCGAGGUGCUCCACCACGAGUCCGGGGCAAGGACAGGCUCUGCCGCGCCGGGAACGAGGGAUUCCGCACCGGGAGCAAUUCGCCAGGGAUGGGAGAACCACUCCAGGUGAUGCCGUUUGCGAGAUCCUGGAUGUGGCAUUGCAGUGCAUCUGGAUCUCUCUAGCAGUGCGCUGCUUGUCCUCGUGUGGUUCAUCCACGGGCGCCAGGGAUCACCUCCCACCUCCAAUCUUUCCCCUCUCCACCCCAGCCCGCAUGCAGUUCAGUCGAUGCGUUCGUGCUGUGCGGAGCGCAUCUGCGUGCAGUCGGCCGGCCGGCGGUGUGGAGCGCAUGUGUGUAGUACCCACGGUGAUGUUCACCGCUGCGUGGUGCUUCAGUGCAGUUUGCAGUUUUCAGAGGAGUUCACUUUUAUUAUUUUUGGAGGAAUUGUUUUUCCAAAUUUGUAUGGACAUGGUUUAUACUUUGGUAAAAAUCGAUGCAGUUUAUUAAGAAAACCUUAGCGGUGCACUUUGCAAAACAAGAAGGCGGUGAAGUUGAAGGGUACUCUGAUGCAUUACGCACCCGCGGUUAUGUUAACUAUAUACUUUGCAACUAUAUUUUGCAGGAAUAGACAAGCACGCAAAAACAUUGAUGCACCUGACUAACGCUGACCAUGUAGUCCAAUAACAUUGCUCAUGUAGUCUAGUUGAAUUUACAAAAAAGGGUAAAAAAAAUGAUAAAACAAGUAUGUCGUUCACUUCUAUAUAUGUUGUGUUCACUUGCCCUCGUCACCGCGGUCCACUCUCGCUUAUGAAAAACCUUAGAAAAAUGGACAAAAAGAAAAUAUGCUUAUAAAAACCAUUAGAAAAAAGGAUAAAAAGAAAAAUAUGCAGUGCGCUUGCCCGUCCGAUGAAGUGCGGGUUUUAGUCUAAAGAAGUGCACUCCACCUCGUUUGGUAAAAUUUACGUCCCACAAAAAAGAAAUCAUGCAGUGCACUUGUCUGUCCAAUGAAGUGUGUUUUUUAGUCUAAAUAAGUGUGUUUUCUGUCUGAUGCAAUACGGCUCGUUUACGGUAGUCUCGAGGUUCACUUUUCAUAUUAUUGUGGUUCACCAACACUCGACAUGAAGUGCACUCCACCUCGUUUAGGAAAAUUUACGUCCCACAAAAAAGGAAAUCAUGCAGUGCACUUGUUUGUCCAAUGAAGUGCGGUUUUCAAUCGGAUGAAGUACCCACGUCGAUUUGGGUGUCGCGAAAAAUAGAGUGUCCGCAUUUCAAUAAAUUUAAAACUGCUCUUAAACCGUAAGGAAUUAGAGAGAGUGUUCUACAUGAGCAAGUUGCGCAUCGUUGAUAUCUUUCCAACGGCAUAUCAUUUGAAUCAUUUCGACAACCGGUUUGUAAAAAUUUCACGAAAAACGGCCGCUGCCACUCAUCGUCCGCCGCACGAUUUUCAAAAUUAACUUAAAACUGUAAGGAAUCUCAAAACCAUUUCUACAUAUGCAAGUUGCGCCUUGUCCAUAGCUUUCCAACGACGUAUUAGACGCCUCGUUUCGAUAAACAGUUCAAAAACUAGAGCAAAAACAACACCGAAAAUUGUAAAAAAUUCAAAAAAAUCGAAUUCCGUGAUUUAGUAAAUUCAAGACUGCUCUUGAACCGUAACGAAUUAGAGAAAAUAACAGGUAUGAAAAAGAUGCGCCUCGAUGAUAUCUUUCCAGCGGCGUAUCAUUUGCCUUAUUCCGAUGAGCGGUUUAGAAAAAAUCACGAAAAUACGCUCGCUACCACUCGUCAUCCGCCGCACUAUUUUUGAAACUGCUCUUAAACCAAGAGGAAUCUCGAAAAGUGUUCAACAUGGAGAAGUUGCACCUAAUCAAUAGCUUUUCAACGAUAUAUUAUACGCCUCGUUCCGUUAAACGGUUAAAAAAUAGAGCGAAAACAGUACCGGAAAAACACUGCGUACAGUUUUUUCGACACGAAGUUCACUUGUGUGAGUACUGCAGCACAUUUGGUUCAAACAAUGACGUGCACUUGCAUUGAGCAUGCAGUGCGGAAGUGUUAUCAGAAUAACUAUUCUGAUAAUAUUAUCAGAAUAGACCGGCUAUAUAUAUAUAUAUAUAGGGUGGGUCUAUUCUAAUAACACCCCUUAAGACCUUAUUCUGAUAACACCAGAGCCUUAUUCUGAUAACACCUCCCACCAGAUCGCCGCCGCCCCUCCCCUCCCGGCCUUCUACCGCGGCAGCGGCCUAGGAGCGCCGUCGCCCUCCCCUCCCGGCCUUCUUCCGCGGCAGCGACCUGGGAGCGCCGUCGCCCUCCCCUCCCGGCCUUCUUCCGUGGCGGCGGCCUGGCAGCGAUGCAGCCCCUCCCCUCCCUGCUUUCUCCUGCGGCGGCGGCCUGGGAGCGCCACCGCCCCUCCCCUCCCGGCCUUCUUCCGCGGCAGCGGCCGGCAGCGACGCCGCCCCUCCCCUCCAGGGCUUCUUCUGCGGCAGCGGCCAAGCAGCGACGCCGCCCAUCGCUGCUCGGCCUUCUUCCGCGGCAGCAACCGAGCAACGCCUCCCCCACCAGCAUAUCAGCCUUCUUCCACGGCAGCACGUCGGUAGCGCCGCCUCCAAAUUCCUCCAGGCCUGCAAUUAGCUGUACUUCAUCAGAUGUGGAUUGGUGCUGCAUCGACAUCAAACCAAUUCGAGCAAGGAGGACUGUGCGCAAGGUUCCUUCAUCCACGGCAGCUUCUUGGAUUAAGUCUGCAACGACCUUCAGAGCAAAUCCUCCAUCUCCGUUCACCUUGAGCAAUGUCCAGACCGCUCAUGAACUUCUGAAGGGCAAGUGGACUGCAUAGGUGAAUGAGAAAGUUGUGCAGACGGACGAGAAGAGAACCUCUUCCUGCAAACGCAAGAAAUCACUGCAACACGAGGUAAGCAGUACACUUCCUCAACCAUAUCAGUUUAGUUAUUCCAGACAAAGCAGUACACGUAGUCCACUGCGCCUACAAAAACGAUGCAGUGCGGUUGCUUCGGUUCGUUUUGGGGGAAAAUGCAGUGAACUUGCUCGGUUAUGCAGUACGCUUGUGUAGGUUCAUUACGGACAACGAUGCAGUGCGGUUACUUCAGUUCACAUUUGUAACACAUUGUAGUUCGCAUGAUUCAGUUAAUUUUGCCUGACAAUGCAGCUCGGUCAUUUUGUGUGCAAGAAAUGAGGUUCGGCGGAUACAAAAUGCCGUGCAUAAUUGACAACCCAGGGAACAACAACUUUCAGAAGAGUAAAGCUUCUUCUGAAAGAGCUUCUUGUAGACCCGGAGAUUAUCAAAGGCUUCCUUUCGAUCAUCUAUCAAGGUCUCCUUCUGUCUGGACUUCACCACGAUAUCAUCCACAUAAGCAUGAAUAUUACUCCCAAUCUGAUUGUGGAGACAGUUCUGCACACAUCACUGAUAAGUCGCCUGGGCACUUUUAAGCCCAAAAGGCAUAAAUACAUAGCAGAAGGCUCCAAAUGGGGUAAUGAAAGCCGUCUUCUCCGGGUCCUUAACAACCAUCUUGAUCUGAUGAUAGCCAGAAUAAGCGUCCAAAAAACUCAAACACUCACAACCCGCCGUUGCACCAAUGAUUUGAUCAAUACGAGGGAGAGCAAAAGGAUCAGCCGGACAAGCCUUGUUUAAAUCCGUGUAAUCCACACACAUACGCCAGGUGCCGUUCUUUUUGAGCACAAGCACCGGGUUAGCCAACCACUAUGGGUGAAAAACUUCAUCAAUAAACCUGGCUGCCAAGAGCCGGGCCACCUCCUCACCAAUAGCCUUGCGCCUUUCCUCAUUGAACCGCCGAAGGAACUGCCUGACCGGCUUAAACUUUGGAUCAAUAUUGAGAGUGUGCUCAGCGAGUUCUCUCGGUAUACCCGACAUGUCAGAAGGCUUCCAUGCAAAGAUGUCCCGGUUCUCACGGUUGAACUCGAUGAGCGCGCCUUCCUAUUUGGGAUCCAAAUUAGCACUAAUAAUAAAUUGUUUGGAUGAGUCGCCAGGCACAAAAUCAAUCAUCUUGGUAUCGUCAGCUGACUUAAAUUUCAGCGCUGGCUCAUGCUCCGUAGUUGGCUUCUUCAAAGAUGUCAUGUCUAUCGGGUCAACAUUGUCUUUAUAGAACUUUAACUCCUCCGUCGCGCAAACAGAUUCUGUGUAAGCAGCAUCACCUUCCUCGCAUUCUAAGGCUAUCUUCCGACUUCCAUGUACUAUGAUAGUACCUUUAUAACCCGGCAUCUUGAGCUGUAGAUAAGCAUAACACGGCCGUGCCAUGAAUUUUGCAUAAGCCGGUCAUCCAAACAGGGCGUGAUACGGGCUCUGGAUUUUGACCACCUCAAAUGUUAAUUUCUCAGCCCUGGAAUCAUGCUCAUCUCCAAAAGCUACCUCCAGCUCAAUCUUACCCACUGGAUAUGCUGACUUACCAGGCACCACUCCAUGAAAAACAGUGUUGGACGUCUUAAGACUUUUGUCAGUCAACCCCACGCGACGGAAUGUCUCAUAAUAGAGGAUGUUGAUGCUACUGCCUCCGUCCAUGAGAAAUUUAGUGAAUUUAUAUCCACCAACCUGAGGCGCCGCCACCAAAGCCAGAUGACUCGGAUUGUCAACCCGGGGCGGGUGGUCCUCCCUACUCCACAGAAUAGGUUGCUCAGACCAUCUUAAAUAACGAGGAACCGUCGGCUCAACAACAUUGACCGCUCUCUUAUGAAGUUUCUGGUCCCUUUUGCAUAAACUGGUGGUGAACACAUGAUACUGCCCACUACUUAGCUGCUUUGGGUUACUCUGAAACCUGGAUUGCUGCUGCUGCUGACUUCCUUGGCCGGAUUGCUGAUUAUAACCACCUUGACUACCGUGAGGGCACUGGCCAAGAAAACCGCCGCCGCAUGAAUUGCCGCCCGGGCCAUGAAAGCCGCCACCGCCUGAGCCGCUGCCAGGUCCCUGAUUACCGUCGAACAUGUUAGAAUUCUUGAAAGCCUUCAUGAUCGUACAAUCUUUCCAUAGAUGAGUGGUCGGCUUCUCCUGGGUGCUGUGUCUUGGACAGGGUUCAUUUAGCAACUGCUCGAGGGUGGGACCUGACCCGCCUGACCGAGGAGGUGGCCUCCCCUUACGCCGUUGAUUGUUGCCUUGUGUGUUGGUGUUAGCCACAAACUCCAGACUACCGUCAGCCUUACGUUUAUUAUUACCUCCUUGAUUUGCUGGGUUAUGCUGGUGACCUUUGCCGUUGCCGUUCUUCUUUCCCUUCCCUGUCUUCUCUUUGUCAGACGCAGGAUCCUUGGUACUAUCAGAGUCGGCGUAUUUGACCAGGGCCACCAUCAGCUGGCCCAUGUCAUUGCAAUCAUGCUUGAGCCACCCCAGCUUCUGUUUCAGAGGUUCAAAACGGCAAUUUUUCUCCAACAUUAAGACCGCGGAGCCGGCAUCCAUCUUAUCAGAUGAAUGUAUUAUUUCCUUCACCCGGCGCACCCAAUGGGUUAUGGAUUCACCCUCCUCUUGCUUGCAAUUAGUCAAGUCCACAAUCGACAUGGGUUGCUUGCAUGUAUCUUUGAAGUUCUGAAUAAACCGGGCUUUUAACUCUGCCCAUGAGCCGAUGGAAUUGGGUGGCAACCCCUUCAACCAAGUGCGAGCUGUUUCAUCCAACAUCAUGGUGAAGUACUUGGCCAUCGCUGCAUCACUGACCUCUAAUAACUCCAUGGCCAUCUCGUAACUUUCAAUCCAUGCCCCGGGUUGUAAGUCAGCUGUGUAAUUAGGCACCUUACGAGGCCCCUUAAAAUCCUUUGGCAAGCGCUCAUUACGCAGAGCCGACACCAAGCAAGGGACACCUCCAGUCCUCGUGGUCACACCUGCUUCAACAGAGGUUGUUGGAUAAACCGGAAAAGCUUGGUGAACCGCCUGCUCAGCUGCCUGUUUGAACCGCCCACUCAGCCUCUUGGUGAAUCCUCUCCUGGUCAACCAAGUUAAGAGCUCCAUCACGCGUUGGGUCAUGCAUGUGCGGCUGGUUACGGCGCUGGGUGUUGCUUGACACGACCGCUGACUCCAUAUGCCUGCUAUAGCUUGGGCUCCGGCUUGGGCGAGGGGUUGAAUGAAUUAUGUCUCGACUGUAAGAGUAGGACUCCUGCUGCGCAAGAGCCGUCUGAAGAAGUUCUCAGACUCUUCUUGUUUUGAUCGCUGUCGGAGAGUCGCCUUCCAUCGGAAGAGCCGCCAAAUGGGCUGAUGCAGCGAUCAGAUUCUCCAAAGGGUUAGAAAAAUGGCCCGGUGGUGUUGGUGUAUAACGAGGCGGAGCAAUACUCACACGAGGGGGUUCCAUUGCCCGCGGCUGAACCGGCGCCCCAGCCUCGGGUGUUGAAAUCCGGUUUGCCUCCGGCGGAUUACUGGGACUGGCCCCGGGCGUGUGGAAGAGAUUCCUUGGAUCGUAAGUCAGGGGCAAACGUGAUUGAGUCUUCUGGUGCCUUCUCCUCAUGACCUCGUUUGAUGCGUUCAGAUUCCUCGAGAGCUGAAAAGCCUCUGAUUGAAGCUGCUGAGCCCAAGCGUCCAAAGAUUCCCGCUCUGUAGCCAUCCGGACGUCCUCUGCCACCAAGUUUUCCUUGGCUUGCGCUACCUCCCCACGUAACCGUGCCACCUCCGCAUCAUGCUGAGCCUUAUCCGCUGGUUCGACCACGGUGGUCAACAGGGUCGUCAUCCUAUCCAUGAGAUCCAUCAGCACCUGAGCCGGUGGUCGCGCGGGGUCUCCUGCCCCGCCGCUGCCGACCCGGUGGUUAUCGCUGCCGCAGCCGUAGAGUUUUGAGCAGGCUGUGUACCAGUCAUGAAGAUUCCCGCUCUGUUCGGCGGCUCAAAGGGGUCUGGAAUACUGCUGCCAUCGGAACAGCCCCCAAGCCCGCCAUCUUGUAGCUGAUACAAUGAAUCCGUCUCACCUGCGGAUGACUCGCCGUCAGAGCAGACAACCGUCUCACCUCCAUCCACAGAUCCUUCAGAAAACUCCCCUCCAUGGAUGCAACCCACGAAGGCACGCAUCACGGCGGGCUGAGUCCGGGCGGGUCUCGCACGCUGAGCCAUCUCGAUGAGGUCAGUGUAGAUGUCCGGCUCAGGGCCCGGCUCGCCGAUCCGGCUGAUGAAUACGUGGAUUCCAUUGACGGGGACCCGGUACCCGUACUCACUUGAGCCAGCGUCAGGGCCCCAGCCUGCAUCGUUGAUUUAGAGCUUGCCACGAUGACUCUUGGUCAUCCGGCCCACAGCGUAUCCCUUGAGCCCUUCGAAGCCGCUCUUCAAGAACUCAAAUCCAUCAUGCACUGGCCCCACGGUGGGCGCCAACUGUCGUAGAAUUGUCACGUUGGAAAACCUAGUGAAAGGACUUAGUCGUGGAACCAUCGCAACUAGGAAGCUUAAAGGGGUUAAUCGGGACAAAGGACACGGGAGGUUUAUACUAGUUCAGCCCCUUGCGACGAAGGUAAAACCUAGUCCAGUUGAUGUGGUAUUGCUAGGUUUCGAUGACCAAGGAGCGAAAUACGCUAGCUUGGAUCUCGAUCUAUUGUUUCUUGCCCUAAGCCGCCGUCGGGUCGUCCCCUUAUAUACCCGGGUUGACGCCCUGCGGCUUACAGAGUCCCAGCCGUCUUAUAAAUAGUGUCCGGCUCGGUGACUAGUUAUUCUUGCCUUAUAACACAAGUUACAUACAUAUGGCGGUUUAUCUCUACGGGCCUUAAAUCACCCUUUGGGCCUUGGGCCCUUAACUAACCCGUCAUCUCCAGAGUCAUCGUGGGCUUCAUGAGUCAUCAUAGAUAUAACCCGCCCUUCCUGGGCGGGUCAUACUAAUAACUACAUCCCCAACACCAGUGUUUGAACCUCAAGGGUUUUGCCGGAACCCGAAAUCUGACAUUUGGCGCGCCAGGUAGGGUGUGCGCCGAAGCUCCGCCUCUCCGCUUGCUUCAUCCAGCUUCAUGGCGGACACCACCCCUCCAACUAGGCUAGUGUGCACCCGCGGAUGCGCCGCGGGCGUCCGAGCCUUCGCCCACACCUUGCGGCAGGUGCGGUGGCUGCGCAAGUUCAAGCCAGAGAUGCCACCCCGCUACGAUAGCGUGGCAGAUCCGACGGCCUUCCUGCAGGCGUGUAUGAGAAGGCCGUCCUCGAAGCUGGAGGCGACGACCAGGUCAUGGCCAACUGGUUCCCUCUGGCCUUGGCCUGCGCGCCACGCGCCUGGCUGCUCAGCUUGCCAGGAUCUUCGGUGACCUUCUGGGAAGAGCUGCGCGGUCCCUUCGUCGCGCGCUUCGCGGCACCGGCGCCCCUCGCUGUCGCGGCCCUCCUCAGCGGCUCGCAAGCACCACCCUCGGACUGUCACACCAAGCCAUUCUUUCGCUAGAUUGGCGCCAUGCCCUCGCGUCAAGAAGCUCCCCCGGGUUGGGCGACGUCCAAGGCCGACCUUACCUUCGACACAGGGGAUUAGCCCGCUGAUACGUCUCCAACGUAUGUAUAAUUUUUGAUUGCUCCAUGGUCUAUUAUCUGCUGUUUUGGAUAUUUAUGGGCUUUAUUAUACACUUUUAUAUCAUUUUUGGGACUAAUCUAUUAACCCAGAGCCCAGUGCCAGUUUCUGUUUUUACCUUGUUUUAGGAUUUCGAAGAAAAGGAAAAUCAAACGGAGUCCAAUUGACCUGAAACUUCACGGAACUCAUUUUUGGGAGGAAAGAAGCCCAGAAGACUUGAAGUGCACGUAAGGGAAGCUUCGAGGAGGCCACGAGGUAGGGGGCGCGCCCACCCCCCUAGGGCGCGCCCUCCACCCUCGUGGGCCCCCUUGUGGCCCCCCUGACGUACUUCUUCCACCUAUAUAUCUCCAUAUACCCUAAAAACAUAGAAGAGCACAAUAGAUCGGGAGUUCCGCCGCCAGAAGCCUCCGUAGCCACCGAAAGCCAAUCUAGACCCGUUCCGGCACCCUGCCGGAGGGGGCAAUCCCUCUCCAGUGGCUAUCUUCAUCAUCCCGGCGCUCUCCAUGACGAGGAGGGAGUAGUCCACCCUCGGGGCUGAGGGUAUGUACCAGUAGCUAUGUGUUUGAUCUCUCUCUCUCGUGUUCUUGAUUUUGCACGAUCUUGAUGUAUCACGAGCUUAGCUAUUAUAGUUGGAUCUUAUGUUUCUUCCCCCCUCUACUCUCUUGUAAUGGAUUGAGUUUUCCCUUUGAAGUUAUCUCAUCGGAUUACGUCUUUAAAGAUUUGAGAACACUUGAUGUAUGUCUUGCCAUGCGUAUCUGUGGUGACAAUGGGAUAUCACGUGAUUCACUUGAUGUAUGUUUUGGUGACCAACUUGCGGGUUCUGCCCAUGAACCUAUGCAUAGGGGUUGGCACACGUUUUCAUUGUGAUUCUCCGGUAGAAACUUUGGGGCACUCUUUGAGGUUCUAUGUGUUGGUUGAAUAGAUGAAUCUGAGAUUGUGUGAUGCAUAUCGUAUAAUCAUACCCACGGAUACUUGAGGUGACAUUGGAGUAUCUAGGUGACAUUAGGGUUUUGGUUGAUUUGUGUCUUAAGGUGUUAUUCUAGUACGAACUCUAGGGCUGUUUGUGACACCUAUAGGAAUAGCCCAACGGAUUGAUUUGAAAGAAUAACUUUGAGGUGGUUUCGUACCCUACCAUAAUCUCUUCGUUUGUUCUCCGCUAUUAGUGACUUUGGAGUGACUCUUUGUUGCAUGUUGAGGGAUAGUUAUGUGAUCCAAUUAUGCUAUUAUUGUUGAGGGAACUUGAACUAGUGAAAGUAUGAACCCUAGGCCUUGUUUCAACGCAUUGCAAUACCGUUUACGCUCGCUUUUAUCAUUAGUUACCUUGCUGUAUUUAUAAUUUCAGAUUACAAAUACCUUUAUCUACCAUCCAUAUACCACUUGUAUUACCAUCUCUUCGCCGAACUAGUGCACCUAUACAAUUUACCAUUGUAUUGGGUGUGUUGGGGACACAAGAGACUCUUUGUUAUUUGGUUGCAGGGUUGCAUGAGAGAGACCAUCUUCAUCCUACGCCUCCUAUGGAUUGAUAAACCUUAGGUCAUCCACUUGAGGGAAAUUUGCUACUGUCCUACAAACCUCUGCACUUGGAGGCCCAACAACGUCUACAAGAAGAAGGUUGUGUAGUAGACAUCAAGCUCUUUUCUGGCGCCGUUGCCGGGGAGGUGAGUGCUUGAAGGUAUAUCUUUAGAUCUUGCAAUCGAGUCUUUUAGUUUCUUGUUUUAUCACUAGUUUAGUUUAUAAAAGAAAAUUACAAAAAAUGGAAUUAAGGGUACCUCAUUUGCUUCAUCUUUUUAAUAUCUAUCAUGAAAAUAAGGAUUCCGAAAAUUGUGCCAAAGUGUUAGAAGAAGAAUGCAUUAGAAUGUUUGGCACUAAAUAUUUGAAUAAUGAGCAUGAUUGCAAUGUUGUUAUUAUGAAUUCCUUGAAUAUCUAUGAUCCUAAUGAUAUGCAAAGCCACAAUCUUGGGGAAGCUAUGUUUGAUGAAGAUGAUAUUUUUUGUCCCCAAAGUUUUGAUGAGCAAAUUUGUUAUGAUGAAAGCAUGCCUCCUAUCUAUGAUGAUUAUUGUGAUGACACAUAUGCUUUAAAGAAUAAUGAUAACCAUGAAACUUGUCAUCUUGAUCUUAAUUUUCAAUCACAUGAUAGUUAUUUUGUUGAGUUUGCUUCCACUAUUAUUCAUGAGAAGAUUUGCUUAUGUGGAGAGUAGUAAAUUUUCUAUGCUUGUAGAUCAUGAAAAGAAUGCUUUUAAGUUCUGGUUAUAUUGUUGAAUUCAUUCAUGAUGCUACUGAAAAUUAUUAUGAGGGAGGAAUAUAUGCUUGUAGGAAUUGCAAUAAUAUCGAGUUUCCUCUCUAUGUGCUUAAAGUUUCGAAGUUAUGCUUAUUUUGCCCUCCUAUGCUAGUUGAUUCUUGUUCCCACAAGUUGUUUGCUCACAAAAUCCCUAUGCAUAGGAAGUGGGUUAGACUUAAAUGUGUUAGUCAUAUUCUUCAUGAUGCUCUCUUUAUGUUUCAAUUCUUAUCCUUUAUGUGAACAUCAUUGAAAUCAUCAUGCCUAGCUAGGGGCAUUAAACGAUAGCGCUUGUUGGGAGGCAACCCAAUUUUAUUUUUGUUCCUUUUUAGUAAUAGAUAAUUCAUCUAGCCUCUGUUUAGAUGUGGUUUUAUGCUUUUAAUUAGUGUUUGUUCCAAGUAGAACCUUUGGGAAGACUUGGGGAAAGUCUUGUUGAUCAUGCUGUAAAAAACAGAAACUUUAGUGCUCAUGAGAAUUGCUGCCAUUUUUAUUUGGAGAGUGAUAUUUAGUUAAUUAUUUUUUCAGAUGAUUAAUAGAUAAAUUCCUCACGUCCAGAAAUUUAUUUGAUAAUUUUAUGAGUUACAGAAGUAUAUGUUUGAUCCAGAUUACUACAGACUGUUCUGUUUUUGACAGAUUCUGUUUUCGAUGUGUUGUUUGCGUAUUUUAAUGAAUCUAUGAGUAGUAUCGGAGGGUAUAAACCAUAGAUAAGUUGGAAUACAGUAGAUAUUACACCAAUAUGAAUUUAGAAUGAGUUCACAACAGUACCUAAGUGGUGAUUUAUUUUCUUAUACUAACGAAGCUUACGAGUUUUCUGUUAAGUUUUGUGUUGUGAAGUUUUCAAGUUUUGGGUAAAGAUUCGAUGGACUAUGGAAUAAGGAGUGGAAAGAGCCUAAGAUUGGGGAUUCCCAAGGCACCCCAAGUUAAUAUUCAAGGACAACCAAGAGCCUAAGCUUGGGGAUCCCCCGGAAGGCAUCCCCUCUUUCGUCUUCGUUCAUCGGUAACUUUACUUGGAGCUAUAUUUUUAUUCACCACAUGAUAUGUGUUUUGCUUGGAGCGUCAAUUUAUUUUGUUAGGAUUUUUCUUGCUGUUAUUUAGAACAAUGAUUUGCAUCUUUUAUUUCAAUAAAAGUGGCAUUGAUAGCCUUUACUAUGCCUAUUUUAGAAGUCCACAUGUGCUGUUCGAAAACAGAAAGUUUACCGCUGUUGCAAUAAUUCCCUAGAAAAGUCAGAAUGUGAUAAAAUGUUGAAACCUUUUACAUAUUAAGCUCUGAUAAAUUUACUACAGAGGGAAUUUUCUUUUAUAAUUUUUGGAGCUAGAUAAGUAUGGACGUUGCUGCAUUCUUUACAGAGUAUCCUGUUUAGGCAGAUUGCUGUUAUGUUAGCAUUGUUUGCAUAUGUUUGCUUCUUUAAUGAUUCUAUUUGAGGAUAGGACUAUUCAAUAUGCAGAGGCAUUUAGUAUGCAAUGAUGAAUAAUAAUUUUAGUGAUUUGCUACCGUAGAGUAUGAUAAGGUUUUGGCAAUGGUUUUAUACUAACUUAUCUCAUGAGUCCUCGUUGAGUUUUGUGUGGAUGAAGCUUUUGAGAUUUAGGGAGACCGUUAUAUGAGAGGAAUUAAAGAGACACAAAAGCUCAAGCUUGGGGAUGCCCAAGGCACCCCAAUAUAAUAUUUCAAAAAGUCUCAAGCGUCUAAGCUUGGGGAUGCCCCGGUUGGCAUCCCACCUUUCUUCUUCAACAACUAGCGGUUAGUAUCGGUUGAUCCUAAGUUUUUGCUUCUUCACAUGAUGUUUGCUAUUCUUAGAUGUCCUUUUAUUUUGUUUUGCUUGCUGUUUGAAUAAAAUACCAAGAUAUGAAAUUCUUAAAUGUUAGAGAGUCUUCACAUAGUUGCAUAAUUAUUCAACUACUCAUUGAUCUUCACUUAUAUCUUUCGGAGUAGUUUGUUGUUUGCUCUAGUACUUCACUUAUAUCUUUUAGAGCAUGGUGGUAGUUUUAUUUUGAAGAAAUAGAUGAACUCUCAUGCUUAACUUAGAUUAUUUUUAGAGUCUUAAUAGCAUGGUAAUUUUCUUAAAAUCCUAAUAUGCUAGGUAUUCAAGAUUAGUAAAACUUUCUUAUGAGUGUGUUGAAUACUAAGAGAAGUUUGAUGCUUGAUGAUUGUUUUGAGAUAUGGAGGUAAUAAUAUCAAAGUCAUGCUAGUUGAGUAGUUGUGAAUUUGAGAAAAGAUUGUGUCGAAGUUUGCAAUUCCCGUAGCAUGCAUGUAUGGUAAACAUUAUGUAACAAAUUUGAAACAUGAGGUGUUAUUUGAUUGUCUUCCUUAUGAGUGGCGGUCGGGGACGAGCGAUGGUCUUUUCCUACCAAUAUAUCCCCCUAGGAGCAUGCGCGUAGUGCCGAGGUUUUUGAUGACUUGUAGAUUUUUACAAUAAGUAUGUGAGUUCUUUAUGACUAAUGUUGAGUCCAUGGAUUAUACACACUCUCACACUUCCAUCAUUGCUAGCCUCUUCGGUACCGUGCAUUGCCCUUUCUCACAUUGAGAGUUGGCGCAAACUUCGCCGGUGCAUCCAAACCCCGUGAUAUGAUACGCUCUUUCACACAACCUCCUUAUAUCUUCCUCAAAACAGCCACCAUACCUACCUAUUAUGUCAUUUCCAUAGCCAUUCUGAGAUAUAUUGCCAUGCAACUUUCCACCAUUCCGUUUAUCAUGACACAUUCAUCAUUGUCAUAUUGCUUUGCAUGAUCAUGUAGUUGAGAUCGUAUUUGUGGCAAAGCCACCUCUCAUAAUUCUUUCAUACAUGUCACUCACGCAUCAUUGCACAUCCCGGUACACCGUCGGAGGCAUUCAUAUAGAGUCAUAUCUUGUUCUAGUAUCGAGUUGUAAUCAUUGAGUUGUAAAUAAAUAGAAGUGUGAUGAUCAUCAUUUUCUAGAGCAUUGUCCCAAGUGAGCAAUAAAAAAAAGGGAAAGGCCAUGAAAAAAAGAGAAGGCCCAAAAAAAGAGAAAGGCCAUAAAAAAGAGAAGGCCCAAAAAAUAUAAAAAAAUAAAUAAAAUGAGAGAAAAAGAGAGAAGGGACAAUGCUACUAGCUUCAAAGUAGCACCAUGAUCUUCAUGAUAGAGAGUCUCUUGUUUUGUCACUUUCAUAUACUAGUGGGAAAUUUUCAUUAUAGAAUUUGGCUUGUAUAUUCCAACAAUGGGCCUCCUCAAGUGCCCUAGGUCUUCGUGAGCAAGCAAGUUGGAUGCACACCCACUUAGUUUCUUUUGUUGAGCUUUCAUGCAUUUAUAGCUCUAGUGCAUCCUUUUCAUGGCAAUCCCUACUGAUUGCAUUAACAUCAAUCGAUGGGCAUCUCCAUAGCCCAUUGAUUAGCCUCGUUGAUGUCAGACUUUCUCCUUUUUGUCUUCUCCACAUAACCCCCAUCAUCAUAUUAUAUUCCACGCAUAGUGCUAUAUCCAUGGCUCGUGCUCAUAUAUUGCGUGAAAAUUUAUAGGUUUGAGAUUACUAAAGUUUGAAACAAUUGCUUGGCUUGUCAUCGGGGUUGUGCAUGAUGAGAGCAUUCUUGUGUGACGAAAAUGAAACAUGACUAAACCAUAUGAUUUUGUCGGGAUGAACUUUCUUUGGCCAUGUUAUUUUGAGAAGACAUAUUGCUUUGUUAGUAUGCUUGAAGUAUUAUUAUUUUUAUGUCAAUAUGAACUUUUAUCUUGAAUCCUUCGGAUCUGAAUAUUCAUGCCACAAUUAAGAAUAAUUACAUUGAAAUUAUGCCAAGUAGCACUCCGCAUCAAAAAUUCUGUUUUUAUCAUUUACCUACUCGAGGACGAGCAGGAAUUAAGCUUGGGGAUGCUGAUACGUCUCCAACGUAUCUAUAAUUUUUGAUUGCUCCAUGCUAUACUAUCUGCUGUUUUGGAUGUUUAUGGGCUUUAUUAUACACUUUUAUAUCAUUUUUGGGACUAACCUAUUAACCUAGAGCCCAGUGCCAGUUUCUAUUUUUACCUUGUUUUAGGGUUUCGAAGAAAAGGAAAAUCAAAUGGAGUCCAAUUGACCUAAAGUUAUGUGUUUGAUCUCUCUCUCUCUCUCUCUCUCUCUCUCUCUCUCUCUCUCUCGUGUUCUUGAUUUUGCACGAUCUUGAUGUAUCGCGGGCUUUGCUAUUAUAGUUGGAUCUUAUGUUUCUUCCCCCCCUCUACGCUCUUGUAAUGGAUUGAGUUUUCCCUUUGAAGUUAUCUUAUCGGAUUGAGUCCUUAAAGAUUUGAGAACACUUGAUGCAUGUCUUGCCGUGCAUAUCUGUGGUGACAAUGGGAUAUCACAUGAUUCACUUGAUGUAUGUUUUGGUGACCAACUUGCGGGUUCCGCCCAUGAACCUAUGCAUAGGGGUUGGCACAUGUUUCCGUCGUGAUUCUCCGGUAGAAACUUUGGGGCACUCUUUGAGGUUCUAUGUGUUGGUUGAAUAGAUGAAUCUGAGAUUGUGUGAUGCAUAUCGUAUAAUCAUACCCACGGAUACUUGAGGUGACAUUGGAGUAUCUAGGUGACAUUAGGGUUUUGGUUGAUUUGUGUCUUAAGGUGUUAUUCUAGUACGAACUCUAGGGCUGUUUGUGACACCUAUAGGAAUAGCCCAAUGGAUUGAUUUGAAAGAAUAACUUUGAGGUGGUUUCGUACCCUACCAUAAUCUCUUCGUUUGUUCUCCGCUAUUAGUGACUUUGGAGUGACUCUUUGUUGCAUGUUGAGGGAUAGUUAUGUGAUCCAAUUAUGCUAUUAUUGUUGAGGGAACUUGAACUAGUGAAAGUAUGAACCCUAGGCCUUGUUUCAAUGCAUUGCAAUACCGUUUACGCUCGCUUUUAUCAUUAGUUACCUUGCUGUUUUUAUAAUUUCAGAUUACAAAUACCUUUAUCUACCAUCCAUAUACCACUUGUAUCACCAUCUCUUCGCCGAACUAGUGCACCUAUACAAUUUACCAUUGUAUUGGGUGUGUUGGGGACACAAGAGACUCUUUGUUAUUUGGUUGCAGGGUUGCGUGAGAGAGACCAUCUUCAUCCUACGCCUCCUACGGAUUGAUAAACCUUAGGUCAUCCACUUGAGGUAAAUUUGCUACUGUCCUACAAACCUCUGCACUUGGAGGCCCAACAACGUCUACAAGAAGAAGGUUGUGUAGUAGACAUCACCCGACACCACCAUCGGCUCGGGCGUGCCCCCAAUGCUAUGCACGCCCACCAUCUAUAGCGUAGCUAUCACCAAGACCCUCACCGACGGUGGCGUCGGUCUCAACGUGCUCUUUAUGGAGGCUUUUAGCCUUCUUCAUGUACCACUCCAGCGUCUCCGACCCAGCAAGCCCUUCUCCAGGGUCAGCGGCGGCUCCACCAGCCCCUUGGGGCAGAUCUGCCUCCCUGUGACCUUCGGCACCCGCGAUAACUACCGCACCGAGCUAAUCAACUUUGACAUCACCCGCAUCGGCCUCCCAUACAAUGCUAACCUCGGAUACCUGGCUCUGGCUCAGUUUAUGGUGGCGACCCAUCCAGCCUACAACCUCAUGAAUAUGCCCGUGAGCAAGGACAUCUUCACCGUAGUUGGAGAUACCAAGGAGGCUCUAGUGGUGCUCAAGUGCACCCUCAAAACUGCCGCGGUGGCACGAAUGGCCAACGAGGCCACCCCAGGAGCUAAGGAUGCUGCACCAGCAAAGAAGAAGCAUUUGUUCACUCAAGAUCGGGCCGAAACUAGGCAGGUGCCGGUCGUGGAAGAUGGGUCCUCAGGAGCCACCUUCACCAUAGGCGCCAACCUCGACCCAAAUCAAGAGGAGGCACUGGUGAGGUUCUUGCGCGCAAACAAGGAUGUGUUUGCCUGGGAACUCAAGCAGCUAGUAGGGGUCCCAAGAGGGGUGAUCGAGCAUCACUUCAGGGUGUGCCCCAAUGUGCGCCCUAUGAAGCAGAAGGCGCGGCGACAAUCCACGGAGAAGCAGUCCUUCAUCGUCCAGGAAACCCGCAAGCUGGAGGCGGCGGGUGUCAUUCGCGAGGUUCGGUACCCCGAGUGGCUGGCGAACCCCGUCAGCGUACCGAAGAAAGGAAGGAAGGAGCGCAUGUGUGUUGACUUCACCAACCUUAACAAGGCUUGUCCCCAAGACCUGUUCCCGCUCCCGCGCAUUGAUCAGAUUGUCGACUCCAUCGCCGAAUGCGACCUGCUGUGCUUCCUGGACGCGUUUUUAGGUUAUCACUAGAUCAAGAUGGCAGUGUAAGAUGUGGAGAAGACGGCCUUCCUGACCCCGUGUGGGGUGUACUGCUACACUUGCAUGCCGUUCGGGCUGCACAACGCAUGCACAACCUUCCAACGGCUGAUGCACAUCGACCUGGGUCAGCAGCUCGGGAGGAACGCUGAAGCCUACGUCGACGACAUUGUGGUAAAUCUCGGGAGGCAAGAACUUUGAUUCAGGACCUGGAGGAGACCUUCGCGAGCCUGCGCCAGGUGGACUUGCGGCUCAACCCGAAGAAGUGCGUGUUUGGUGUCCCUUCCGGCAAGCUGCUAGGAUUCCUCGCGGCCCACAGGGGGAUUGAGGCCAACCCAGAGAAGUUCAAGGCGAUAGAAGACAUGAGCCCACCGCAAACUCUUAAGGAGAUGCAGAAGCUUGUAGGCUGCGUGACUUUGCUCGGGCGCUUCAUCUCCAAGCUGGGAGAGCGCGCCCUGCCAUUCUACAAGCUAAUGAAGAAGAAGGGCCCAUUCGAGUGGACCCCAGAAGCCGACCAAGCAUUUCAAGACCUAAAGAGAUACCUAACCAGCCCUCUGGUGAUGGUGGCGCCUCGCUCUCUCGAGCCCCUAGUGCUUUACCUUUCCGCCACUCCCUACUCCGCCAGUGUAGCUCUAGUGGCGGUCCGGGAGGAGCGCCAGGUCAGAGGGCUGCCGCGCCGCGCCGCACCACCAGCCGACGCGAUGCAGGACCCGGAGGGCACCGCAAGGGCUGAAGCAAUGCCAACGGGUGACCAUGCCUAGCAAGGCGGCGUUCGCGGCCCGGCAGAGGCCCCAGUAGGCGAUCAGGCUCUUGUGGUCUCAUCAUCUCAAGAGACGCCCCAACUGUAGGCAGGCACAAGCUCCGGAUGUUCCCGCCCUCGUCGAGCACCCGGUGUAUUUCGUCAGCACGGUAUUGCGGGAUGCAAGGGCAUGGUACCCCAUGCCUCAGAAGCUCUUGCUCGCGCUUCUGGUGGCCUCACGCAAGCUGUGGCACUACUUCCAAGGUCACCCAAUUAAGGUCGUCUCGGCCUACUCACUGGAGAGGGUACUCAGGAGCCCUAACGCUGCUGGAAGAGUCGCCAAAUGGAACAUCGAGCUGCAAGCAUUCCAGCUGGAGUUCAGUGCGACUAGGGUCAUCAAUGGGCCCGCGCUCUCCGACUUCGUGGCAGAAGCGAUUGACGCCCCGGGGUUUGAAGCAGGCGAGGACCGAUCCCUCUCGGCAGGAAGUGAAGCACCAGAUGGCUAGGUCAUAUAGUUUGAUGGCGCGUUCGCACGCCAGGGCGCGGGGGCUGGAGCAUUACACAUCUCGCUUACUCAGGACAAGCUCUACUACGCCGUGCAGCUCUGCUUCCAGCAAGGCGAGAAGGUCUCCAACAACAUCGCGGAGUAUGAAGGCCUCAUCGCUGGCCUCAAGGCCAUGGUGGCCCUGGGGGUGAAGCGCCUCACCAUCAAGGGCGACUCGUAGCUCCUCGUCAACUUCUCCAACAAGGUAUAUGAGCCGAAGGACGAGCACAUGGAGGCAUACCUCGCGGAGGUACGCAAAAUGGAAAAGCAUUUCUUGGGUCUAGAGUUGCAGCAUGAACCCGUUGGCACCAACAAGGAGGCAGAGGACAUUGCCAAAAGGGCGUCCAAGCAAGAACCCCAAGAGCUUGGCGUCUUUUAGGAGCGGCUCUUCAAGCCGUCGGCAGCACCUCCACUUUCGGGGCUGGCGCCGCCUCGAGAGGAGCUCCCCCAACCACUUGUCUCGGGAGCCCCGGCCUGCGGCCCGACCUUGGGGGUGGGCCUACUCCUGGCUGGAGCCUCAUGAGGGGUGCUGGACCAAGGAGCUCAAGGUAUACCUGACGCAAGGGACACUGCCAGAGAAGGCGAGGACACGGAGCGCGUGGCCCGACAGGCUACGGCAUACUGCAUCCAGGACGGUGAGUUAUACAGGAAGCGACCAAAUGACGUUUCCUUACGAUGCAUCUCCAGGGAAUAGUGGAAUGAGUUGCUGGCUGACAUACACGACGGAGACUGCGGACACCACUCAUCAUCACGAAUCCUCGUCCGCAAGGCGUUCCGCAGCGGGUUCUACUGGCCUACGAUGCUCAACAACGCAACCGAGCUGGUGAAGUCCUGCGAGGCCUGCCAAUUCCACGCCAAGCAGAUCCAUCAGCUAGCUUCGAGUCUCCAGACCAUCUCGCUCUCGUGGCCGUUCGUAGUAUGGGGGCUGGAUAUCUUAGGCCCGUUCCCUCGGGCGCCUGGGGGCUACUGCUACCUGUACGUCGCCAUCGACAAGUUCACCAAUUGGGCGGAGGUAGAAGCCGUCUGCACCAUCCCAGUCGGAUCCACGAUCAAGUUCAUCAAGGGUCUUGUAAGAUAAUUUGGGGUCCCUAAUCGCAUAAUCACCAACAACGGCUCGCAGUUCACUAGAAAUCUUUUCAAGGCAUACUGUGCUAACCUUGGAACACAGAUCUGCUACGCUUUAGUGGCACACCCCAGGAGCAAUGGUCAAGCCAAACGCGCCAAUGCGGAGGUCCUCAGAGGCCACAAGACUAGGACCUUCAAGAAGAAGCUUGAGGCAUGCGGCAAGGGCUGGCACGAUGAGCUCCAGUCUGUGCUAUGGUCCAUCCGCACCACCGCCACCAAGCGAACAGGCGAGACCCCGUUCUUCCUUGUCUACGGAGCAGAAGCGGUUCUCCCUCACAAGGUCAAGCAUCGCUCCACGCGGGUCCUGGUGUUUGAUGAGACGUAGCAGGACGCCAUGCGGGGGAUGGACCUUGUGCUGGGGGAGGAACACCACCGUGAAGCCUUGCUCCAAGCGGCAAGGUACCAGGAGGUGCUGCGACGAUACCACUGUCGCAGCGUCUGCUCCAGGACGCUUGAGGUGGGCGAUCUCGUCCUAAGGCGGGUGCUCUCCAGGGAAGGGCUGCACAAGCUCUGGCCCAUGUGGGUGAAGGAAAUAUGCCCUAGAGGCAAUAAUAAUGUUAUUAUUUUAUUUCCUUAUAUCAUGGUAAAUGUUUAUUAUUCAUGCUAGAAUUGUAUUAUCCGGAAACAUAAUACUUGUGUGAAUACAUAGACAAACCAAACGUCACUAGUAUGCCUCUACUUGACUAGCUCAUUAAUCAAAGAUGGUUAUGUUUCCUAACCAUAGACAUGUGUUGUCAUUUGAUUAACAGGAUCACAUUAUUAGGAGAAUGAUGUGAUUGACAUGACCCAUUCCAUUAGCUUAGCACCCGAUCGUUUAGUAUGUUUCUAUUGCUUUCUUCAUGACUUAUACAUGUUCCUAUGACUAUGAGAUUAUGCAACUCCCGUUUGCCGGAGGAACACUUUGUGUGCUACCAGACGUCACAACAUAACCGGGUGAUUAUAAAGGAGCUCUACAGGUGUCUCCAAAGGUACAUGUUGGGUUGGCGUAUUUCGAGAUUAGGAUUUGUCACUCCGAUUGUCGGAGAGGUAUCUCUGGGCCCUCUCGGUAAUGCACAUCACAUAAGCCUUGCAAGCAUUUCAACUAAUGAGUUAGUUGCAAGAUGAUGUAUUACGAAACGAGUAAAGAGACUUGCCGGUAACGAGAUUGAACUAGGUAUUGAGAUACUGACGAUCGAAUCUCGGGCAAGUAAAAUACCGAUGACAAAGGGAACAACGUAUGUUGUUAUGCGGUCUGACCGAUAAAGAUCUUUGUAGAAUAUGUAGGAGCCAAUAUGAGCAUCCAGGUUCCGCUAUUGGUUAUUGACCGGAGACGUGUCUCGGUCAUGUCUACAUUGUUCUCGAACCUAUAGGGUCCGCACGCUUAAGGUUUCGAUGACAAUCAUAUUAUGAGUUUAUGAGUUUUGAUGUACCGAAGUUAGUUCAGAGUCCCGGAUGUGAUCACGGACAUAACGAGGAGUCUCAAAAUGGUCGAGACAUAAAGAUUGAUAUAUUAGACGGCUAUAUUCGGACACCGGAAGUGUUCCGGGUGAUUUCAGAGAAAAACGGAGAGCCGGAGGGUUACCGGAACCCUACCGGGAGAAGUAAUGGGCCAUACGGGCCUUAGUGGAGAGAGAGAGGGGCAGCCAGGGUGGGCUGUGCGCCUCCUCCCCCUGGUCCGAAUUGGACUAGGAGAGGGGGGGGGGGGCGCCCCCCUUUCCUUCUCCCUCCCCACUUCCUUCCCCCUCCUAGUAGGAGUCCUACUCCUACUAGGAGGAGGACUCCUCCUGGCGCGCCAAUAGGGGCCGGCCGGCCUCCUCCCCUUGCUCCUUUAUAUACAGGGGCAGGGGGCACCCCUAGACACACAAGUUGAUCCACGCGAUCUUAUUCUUAGCCGUGUGCGGUGCCCCCUUCCACCAUAAUCCUCGCUAAUAUUGUAGCGGUGCUUAGGCGAAGCCCUGCGACGGUAGUACAUCAAGAUCGUCACCACGCCGUCGUGCUGACGGAACUCUACCCCGACACUUUGCUGGAUCAGAGUCCGGGGAUCAUCAUCGAGCUGAACAUGUGCUAAAACUCGAAGGUGCCGUAGUUUCGGUGCUUGAUCGGUCGGGCCAUGAAGACGUACGACUACAUCAACCGCGUUGUGAUAACGCUUCCGCUGUCGGUCUACAAGGGUACGUAGAUCAAACUCUCCCCUCUCGUUGCUAUGCAUCACCAUGAUCUUGCGUGUGCGUAGGAAAAUUUUGAAAUUACUACGUUCCCCAACAGUGGCAUCCGAGCCUAGGUUUUAUGUGUUGAUGUUAUAUGCACGAGUAGAACAUAAGUGAGUUGUGGGCGAUAUAAGUCAUACUGCUUACCAGCAUGUCAUACUUUGGUUCGGCGGUAUUGUUGGACGAAGCGGCCCGGACCAACAUUACGCGUACGCUUACGCGAGACCGGUUCUCCCGACAUGCUUUGCACAAAGGUGGCUAGCGGGUGAUAGUUUCUCCAACUUUAGUUGAAUCGAGUGUGGCUACGCCCGGUCCUUGCGAAGGUUAAGACAACACCAACUUGACAAACUAUCGUUGUGGUUUUGAUGCGUAGGUAAGAUUGGUUCUUGCUUAAGCCCGUAGCAGCCACGUAAAACUUGCAACAACAAAGUAGAGGACGUCUAACUUGUUUUUGCAGGGCAUGUUGUGAUGUGAUAUGGUCAAGACAUGAUGCUAAAUUUUAUUGUAUGAGAUGAUCAUGUUUUGUAACCAAGUUAUCGGCAACUGGCAGGAGCCAUAUGGUUGUCGCUUUAUUGUAUGCAAUGCAAUUGCGCUGUAAUGCUUUACUUUAUCACUAAGCGGUAGCGAUAGUCGUGGAAGCAUAAUAUUGGCGAGACAACAACGAUGCUACGAUGGUGAUCAAGGUGUCGCGCCGGUGACGAUGGUGAUCACGAUGGUGCUUCGAAGAUGGAGAUCACAAGCACAAGAUGAUGAUGGCCAUAUCAUAUCACUUAUAUUGAUUGCAUGUGAUGUUUAUCUUUUAUGCAUCUUAUCUUGCUUUGAUUGACGGUAGCAUUUUAAGAUGAUCUCUCACUAAUUAUCAAGAAGUGUUCUCCCUGAGUAUGCACCAUUGUGAAAGUUCUUCGUGCUGAGACACCACGUGAUGAUCGGGUGUGAUAGGCUCUACGUUCAAAUACAACGGGUGCAAAAUAGUUGCACACGCAGAAUACUCAGGUUAUACUUGACGAGCCAAGCAUAUACAGAUAUGGCCUCGGAACACGGAGACCGAAAGGUCGAGCGUGAAUCAUAUAGUAGAUAUGAUCAACAUAGCGAUGUUCACCAAUGAAACUACUCCAUCUCACGUGAUGAUCGGACAUGGUUUAGUUGAUUUGGAUCAUGUAAUCACUUAGAGGAUUAGAGGGAUGUCUAUCUAAGUGGGAGUUCUUUAGUAAUAUGAUUAAUUGAACCUAAAUUUAUCAUGAACUUAGUACCUGAUAGUAUCUUGCUUGUUUAUGUUUGAUUGUAGAUAGAUGGCCCGUGCUGUUGUUCCGUUGAAUUUUAAUGCAUUCCUUGAGAAAGCAAAGUUGAAAGAUGAUGGUAGCAAUUACACGGAAUGGGUCCGUAACUUGAGAAUUAUCCUCAUUGCUGCACAAAAGAAUUACGUCCUGGAAGCACCGCUGGGUGCCAGGCCUGCUGCUGGAGCAACACUAGAUGUUAUGAACGUCUGGCAGAGCAAAGCUGAUGACUACUCGAUAGUUCAGUGUGCCAUGCUUUACGACUUAGAAUCGGGACUUCAACGACGUUUUGAACGUCAUGGAGCAUAUGAGAUGUUCCAGGAGUUGAAGUUAAUAUUUCAAGCAAAUGCCCGGAUUGAUAGAUAUGAAGUCUCCAAUAAGUUCUAUAGCUGCAAGAUGGAGGAGAACAGUUCUGUCAGUGCGCAUAUACUCAAAAUGUCCAGGUAUAAUAAUCACUUGAUUCAAUUGGGAGUUAAUAUUCUAGAUGAUUGCGUCAUUGAUAGAAUUCUCCAAUCACUGCCACCAAGCUACAAGAGCUUCGUGAUGAACUAUAAUAUGCAAAGGAUGAAUAAGACCAUUCCCGAGCUCUUCGCAAUGCUGAAAGCUGCGGAGGUAGAAAUCAAGAAGGAGCAUCAAGUGUUGAUGGUCAAUAAGACCACUAGUUUCAAGAAAAAGGGCAAAGGGAAGAAGAAGGGGAACUUUAAAAAGAACAGCAAGAAAGUUGCUACUCAAGAAAAGAAACCCAAACCUGGACCUAAGCCUGAAACUGAGUGCUUCUACUGCAAGCAGACUGGUCACUGGAAGCGGAACUGCCCCAAGUAUUUGGCGGAUAAGAAGGAUGGCAAGGUGAACAAAGGUAUAUGUGAUAUACAUGUUAUUGAUGUGUACCUUACUAAUGCUCGCAGUAGCACCUGGGUAUUUGAUACUGGUUCUGUUGCUAACAUUUGCAACUCGAAACAAGGACUACAGAUUAAGCAAAUAUUGGCUAAGGACGAGGUGACGAUGCGCGUGGGAAAUGGUUCCAAAGUCGAUGUGAUCGCGGUCGGCGCGCUACCUCUACAUCUACCUUCGGGAUUAGUAGUAGACCUAAAUAAUUGUUAUUUGGUGCCAGCGUUAAGCAUGAACAUUAUAUCUGGAUCUUGUUUGAUGCGAGACGGUUAUUCAUUUAAAUCAGAGAAUAAUGGUUGUUCUAUUUAUAUGAGUAAUAUCUUUUAUGGUCAUGCACCCUUAAAGAGUGGUCUAUUCUUAUUAAAUCUUGAUAGUAGUGACACACAUAUUCAUAAUGUUGAAACCAAAAGAUGUAGAGUUGAUAAUGAUAGUGCAAUUUAUUUAUGGCACUGCCGUUUGGGUCAUAUCGGUGUAAAGCGCAUGAAGAAACUCCAUACUGAUGGGCUUUUGGAACCACUUGAUUAUGAAUCACUUGGUACUUGCGAACCGUGCCUUAUGGGUAAGAUGACAAAAACACCGUUCUCCGGUACUAUGGAGAGAGCAACAGAUUUGUUGGAAAUCAUACAUACAGAUGUAUGUGGUCCGAUGAAUGUUGAGGCUCGUGGCGGAUAUCGUUAUUUUCUCACCUUCACAGAUGACUUAAGCAGAUAUGGGUAUAUCUACUUAAUGAAACAUAAGUCUGAAACAUUUGAAAAGUUCAAAGAAUUUCAGAGUGAAGUUGAAAAUCAUCGUAACAAGAAAAUAAAAUUCCUGCGAUCUGAUCGUGGAGGAGAAUAUUUGAGUUACGAGUUUGGUGUACAUUUGAAACAAUGCGGAAUAGUUUCGCAACUCACGCCACCCGGAACACCACAGCGUAAUGGUGUGUCCGAACGUCAUAAUCGUACUUUACUAGAUAUGGUGCGAUCUAUGAUGUCUCUUACUGAUUUACCGCUAUCGUUUUGGGGUUAUGCUCUAGAGACGGCCGCAUUCACGUUAAAUAGGGCACCAUCAAAAUCCGUUGAGACGACGCCUUAUGAACUAUGGUUUGGCAAGAAACCAAAGUUGUCGUUUCUGAAAAUUUGGAGUUGCGAUGCUUAUGUGAAAAAGCUUCAACCUGAUAAGCUCGAACCCAAAUCAGAGAAAUGUGUCUUCAUAGGAUAUCCAAAGCAAACUAUUGGAUACACCUUCUAUCACAAAUCCGAAGUGUAAGUGCAUCUAGUGCCACCCCUAGUUGGUUUUGGAGUAUUGACGACAAACCUAGUUGAGGGACUAAUGUGUUUGUGAGAAUUGCAGGAUAACACAUGUAGAAGUCCCUCAUUGAUUCGGUUUUCCUACCAGAGAUGACCCCUAAAAAUGUAUGAAGACAUUGAUGUCAAAGGUGGUAUAUGAAGAUAUUCACAUUGAAGACUAUGACAAGAGAAGACAUCGCAUGAAGCCUAUGGAGCUCGAAGACUUAGAUCUUUCGUAAUUCUUUUUCUUCUUCUUUGUUGAGUCAUAGGAACCACCGUACUGUUAAGUGGGGUCCAAGAGGACCAGUCAGAAUGACUGAAGUGAUGCUUAACCAAAACCUAUGUCUUCGAGUGAAGACUAUGAGAGCAAAUCUUGUCCAGAGUCGGACAAGUCAGCUUUGCUUGUAGCUCAAGUAAAGUUGCCGUGUGAGUUUGAAAUCUGACCAUUGGAACACGUGUCAGUUCCUUAGUGACCCACGGUCAUUUCGGACAAAUCAGGCCGGGUUGCCUAGUGGCUAUAAAUAGCCCACCCCCUACAACCAUAAACGGUUGGCUGCUCAGAGUUAGUAUACGGCUUUUGUCGUUUGAGAGCAACCCACCUCGAAGCCUUUGAGAGAGAAUUCCUUGCGAGGAUAAAGCCCUAACCACCCAGAGCCAAAGAGAAUUAGGCAUCACUUAAGUCUUCUUGUCUGUGUGAUCUGAAGACUUAUUACACUUGAGGACUAUGAAUCCUCCAGCCGGUUAGGUGUCGCAUUCUAAGCAUCCAAGAGACAUUGUGGAUUGCCGAUGAACGAAGUCUGUGAAGGUUUGGGAGUCUACCUUGAAGACUUACCAGAGUGAUUGGGCGAGGUCUGUGUGACCUUAGCUCAAGGGGAAUACGGUGAGGACUGGGUGUCCUGAGCUGCGUGUUCAGGACUGGGUGUCCGGGACUGUGUGUCCUCAGGUUUAAAUACCUAGCCGCCCUAACCAGACAUACAGUUGUCACCGCAACUGGAACUGGUCCAACACAUCAUUGUCUUCCACGAGUCGCUGGUUUCAUCCUUCCCUUCUCUUUACGUACUAUUACUCCUUGUGAAGUCAUUGUAUGAUUGCACUUCUUUUAUCUUCACUGAGUGACUGCAUGUUCUGUUUGGCUUCAUAAUAUCUUCCUACCUGAUCCUUACUACAUUGCUGCUAUUAGUCAUUGUGCUUUCACUCUAUUGAAUGCUUGACUAUGGCUUGCCUAGUGUAGUCUACCUUCCGCUGCAGGGUAAUAGGAUUAUUUCUAUCGUUUGUCUUCAUAACUUCCACGUUUUGAAGACUUUCAUAAAAAUCGCCUAUUCACCCCCCCUCUAGUCGAUAUAACGCACUUUCAAUUGGUAUCAGAGCAAGGUACUCCCUUGUUCUGUGUGAUUCGGUUUAACCACCUGGAGUUUUAGCUAUGUCGACUGCAGGGAUAAUUAAAGUCUCCGCUGCGUGCCCCGUCUUCGAUGGAACUGAAUAUCCCUACUAGAAGAAUAAGAUGCGCAUGCAUCUUGAAGCCAUUGACGUCGACCUAUGGUAUGUCAUCAAGAACGGCGUUCCCAAGGCUGGAGAAGGUGUCACUGCUGCUGAUGUCAAGAAGUUCGUUCAACUGGACUCUACUGCCAAGAAUAUCAUCUGUGGUCAUCUGACCAAAGGACAGUAUGGCCGCGUGAGUGCUUUGGAAACAUCUAAGCUAGUCUGGGACUGGCUCUCCAAGGUCAACGAAGGCGUCUCAACCCAGAGAGAUCAGAGAAUCAGUGUCCUUCGCAACCUCUUCAACCGCUUCAAGAGAAAUGACAAUGAGAAUGUCUAGCUCACAUUUAAUCGACUCACUGACAUCACGAAUGAGCUUCAAGCCCUUGGCACUACUGAGAUCACCAAGCAUGAAGUCGUCAAGACACUACUGAGAUCACUUGACAGUUCGUUUGACACCCUAGCCCUGAUGAUUCAAGAACGUCCCGAUUUCAAGACACUCGAUCCGUCUGACAUACUUGAGAGGCUCAACACACAUGAGUUUCAGCUUUCUGAGAAAAGAGAUAUCUAUGGUCCAAACUAUGGGCGAACUCGUGCCUUGAAGGCAAAAGCUGUCUCCUCAUCUGAAGAAGAAUCUGACAGCAGUUCUGAUGAUCCUAAAGACAUUGGAAGGGAACUUGCUAUGCUUGUGAAGAAGUUCCAAAAAUUCACCAAGAAGAAGGGCUUUAGAAAGUCUUUCCGAUCAAGCUCAAGAAAUGAUGAAGCUUCUGCUCAUGACUACAAGAAGAAAACUUGCCACAAGUGCAAGAAACCUGGCCACUUCAUCUCUGAGUGUCCGCAGUGGGACAAUGAGAACAACAAGAAGAAGAAGAGCAAGGAAUAUGACUCUGACGACAAGAAGAAGAAGAAAUACUCAAAGUCUUCUUCCAAGUCUUCUUCAAAGUCUUCAUCACACAAGAAGAGCUCAUCUGGCAAGGCACAUGCGUUUGUUGGCAAGGAAAUGGAUUCAGAGGAGGAGUCCGCUUCUGAGGAGGCGGAGGUGGAGUCUGAGGAGGAGUCCGAUUCUGGCGUCGCAAGUCUGGCUACAACAUACGUUGCCAAGUCCAUCUUCGACACUGAAGACAAUGACCUCAUCACCGACACCGAUGCAAAUGACAAGGACUACUCCGCUCCUACCUACCGCUUCAUGGCAUGUGGUGCCAAGGUAAACACAUGCACUACUCACUAUCAAACAUCUAGUGACGAUGACUCUGAUUGUGGUUCAAAACCCAGCUACAAAACACUUGCUAAAAUUGCAACUGAACAACAGAAAGCCAUGGAACAUAUUCAAAAACUGUUAGACAAAAGCGAUGAUCUGUUAGGCGCUGAAAUUACUCGAUCUAAGUCCUUAAUUGAAGACAUAAAAAAUCUUCACGUUAAGUAUGAGGAACUUGAAAGUCGUCAUGAAACGCUCUCAACAACUCAUGAAAAGCUUUCCUAUGAUUAUCUUCAAAGGAAGCAAGAUCUUGAGAAAUUGAGAGCGGCUCAUGAAGAUCUACAAAAGGAAAAUGAGUCACUUCCCGCCAAACAGAUCAUUUCCGCUCAGGAAGGAUUUGAACCACCAUGUCUUAAAUGCAUUGAGCGUGAUAAUGCUACUACUGUUGCUGAAUGUUCUACUACUACUACUGUUGCAAUAUCUUCAACUGUUGAUGUGGGAACUAACCCCUCUGCUGAGGAUUCCACUGCUAUUGCUGAUGAGAAUACUAGGUUGAAGACAUUGCUUGAAACAGGGAUGUACAAAAGUCUUAAAGGGCAUCAGACACUAUGUGAUGUCCUCAAAAAGCAGAUCUUGAACCGAAACCCGAGGAAAGAGGGUGUUGGGUUCGUAAGGAAAAUGAACGCUGAUGGCUCUUACUGGAAACUUGAGCAGUACCCCAAAAACACAUGGGUUGCUGCAAAGGAAUCUUCAGCAGAUCUAUCCAAUCUAUCUGGCUUCUCUUGUGCAAAUCCCAUUGUCAUUGAUGAAUCCUUUGAUGCGAACUAUAAACUGUUUAAGAAUCAGAAUGGUGAAGUGUUUGCAAGGUACAUUGGUACUAACUGCAGGAAUGGACCGCCUAUGAAGAAGAUCUGGGUUCCAAAAAAGUGUCUGGAGAAUCUUCCUGUGAAUGUCAUCAUGACACCACACAUGAAGAAGACAAACCUCAGACCACAGGCUUCAUACGGUCCAAAGGCUUCAUACAGACAGAGGACUCACCUGAGUCGCACUAACACAAAUGUUUUGCAGGGAAACCAUACUCAGGCCUAUGAAUAUGAGCGCGGUUCAUCAAACCGCCAUGUUCAUAAGACAAAGAACUAUUCUGCUUAUUCUUAUGAGUACUAUUGUCCGCCUGCAAGACUUUUUGCUAGGGCUCCAAAGCCAAAGUUCUCAGAUGCUGCACUUAGACUUAUUGCUUCUAAGCCACCCUUGAAGAUGUGGGUGGCUAAUAAAGCUUAACUCUCUUUUGCAGGGAAAGGUCUCCAGCAGAAAACCAAAAUCAUCUGACGCUAUUGCUGGGGACCUUAAACAUCUUGUAGGGCGCAAGAUCAAAUGCCUGAAUGGUCUUACUAUGUACUUCGUUCCUGAAUCGCUUGCUACUCUCCCUAUCAGUCCUAAUCUGGAUCUAAGCUUUCAUAACCCACUGGUUCGUCAAAUGUUUUUGCUUCACAAUUCUCUUCGUGAAGCCUAUCCCCCUAACUGCACUGUAGGGUACGACACCAGCAUCUUCAGAAUGGAUUAUUGAUAGUGGGUGUACCAACCACAUGACUGGCAAAAGAAGCCUUCUUAUGGACACAACCUUACGUCUAUCCGACAAGACUCACAUCACAUUUGCUGACACUGGUAAAAGUAAGGUAUUGGGUCUAGGUAGAGUUGCAAUCUCAAAGGAUCAACACAUGGAUAAAGUCAUGCUUGUUGAAUCCCUUGGCUUCAACUUAAUGUCUGUCUCAAUGCUUUGCGAUUUGAACAUGAUCGUAAUAUUUGGAAAAUAUCGCUGCCUUGUACUAAUGGAAUCUAACAAGUCUCUAGUGUUUGAAGGGUAUCGGAAAGAUGAUUUGUACAUGGUAGAUUUUUUGGCAGGACCACAACUUGCCGUAUGUCUUCUAGCAAAGGCUUCAGAAUGCUGGCUCUGGCAUCGGAGGCUAGGGCAUGCUGGCAUGAGGAACCUCCACACCCUUGCAAAGAAGAAGCAUGUCAUAGGCAUCGAGGGAGUCAAGUUCAAGAAAGAUCACUUAUGCGGUGCCUGUGAAGCAGGGAAGAUGAUGAGGGCCAAACAUCCCUCGAAGACAAUCAUGACAACCACUCGACCCUUCGAACUGCUCCACAUGGAUCUUUUCGGUCCCACUCAUUACUCAACUCUUACUACUACUGCUUGCCUCUAUGGCUUUGUUAUUGUUGAUGAUUAUUCUAGAUAUACUUGGGUGCACAUAAUCCUCUACAAGACUGAAGUGCAGGAUGUCUUCAGACGCUUCGCCAAUCGAGCAAUGAAUAACUAUGGCGCCAAGAUAAAGCACAUCAGAAGUGACAAUGGCACUGAAUUCAAGAACAUUGGCCUUGAUACAUAUCUUGAUACCUUGGGCAUCACACAUGAAUUCUCAUCCCCAUACACGCCACAGCAGAAUGGCGUCGUCGAACGCAAGAACAGAACACUCAUUGAGAUGGCCCGAAUGAUGCUUGAUGAAUACAAGACUCCAAGAAAAUUCUGGCCUGAAGCCAUUGAUACUGCAUGCCAUACAAUCAAUCGUGUUUAUCUUCACAAGCUUCUGAAUAAGACAUCUUAUGAGCUCCUUACUGGCAAGAAGCCAAAUGUUAGUUACUUCAGAGUAUUUGGCGCCAGGUGCUGGAUCAAGGAUCCACAUCACACUUCAAAAUUUGCACCAAAAGCACAUGAGGGUUUUAUGCUUGGAUAUGGAAAGGAUUCACACUCCUACAAAGUCUUCAAUCUCCUUCAUUAUAAAGUGGUUGAAAUAGUGGAUGUGCGGUUUGAUUAGACUAAUGGUUCACAAAGAGAGCGCCUCCCAAAUAUGCUAGAUGAUGUUCCAUCCAGCGAAUCAAUCAAGCUUAUGGGAACCGGAGAAAUCAUACCCUCUGAAGCUCAACCUGAAGAGAAACUUAUCAUCUCUGCACCUGAUCAACCUGAAGACAAUGCUCAGCCUGAAGACAAUCCCACUAACAAUGACAAUGAUCAGCAGGAGCAAAACCUUCGCCCUUUACAUCCUCGUGUUGCCAAUGAAGUGCAGAUUGAGAGAAUAAUUGACAGCAUCAAUGCACCUGGUCCGCUCACUCGAUCAAGGGCAACUCAGCUGGCAAAUUUCUGUGGGCACUUCGCAUUCGUCUCAAUAACAGAACCCAAGAAAGUUGAAGAAGCCUUCAUGGAACCUGAAUGGAUUCAAGCUAUGCAAGAAGAGCUUCAACAAUUUGAGCUGAAUAAUGUAUGGGAACUGGUUAAGCGUCCCGAUCCUCGGAAGCACAACAUAAUAGGCACCAAAUGGAUAUACCGCAACAAGCAAGAUGAGCAUGGUCAAGUUGUCAGAAACAAAGCUCGUCUCGUUGCUCAAGGAUAUACUCAAGUGGAAGGCAUUGACUUCGAUGAAACAUUUGCUCCUGUGGCUAGACUUGAAACCAUACGCAUACUGCUGGCCUAUGCCAAUCAUCACAACAUACUUCUAUAUCAAAUGGAUGUGAAGAGCGCCCUUCUCAAUGGCAAGAUUGAAGAAGAAGUGUAUGUUGCACAACCGCCUGGCUUUGAAGAUCCAAAACAUCCUGACAUGGUAUACAAGCUCAAUAAGGCACUGUAUGGCCUCAAACAAGCCCCUCGGGCCUGGUAUGACACACUCAAAUACUUCCUGAAGAGCAAAGGCUUCAUACCUGGUUCCCUAGACCCCACUCUCUUCAUGAAGACGUAUGAUGGUGAACUGUUUGUGUGCCAAAUAUAUGUGGAUGACAUUAUCUUCGGCUACACCAAUCAAAAGUACAGUGAAGAGUUUGGAUAUAUGAUGCAAGAGCAAUAUCAGAUGUCCAUGAUGGGAGAGCUGAAGUUCUUCCUCGGUCUCCAAAUACGACAGCAACGCAACGUCAUCUUCAUAUCUCAAGAAAAGUAUCUCAAAGAUUGUCUGAAGAAGUUCGGUAUGCAGGACUGCAAAGGCUUCACGACGCCAAUGCCAGCCAAGCAUCAUCUGGGUCCCGACGACAAUGAUAAAGAGUUUGAUCAAAAGGUAUACCGCUCCAUGAUUGGUUCUUUGCUUUAUCUAUGUGCAUCUAGGCCAGAUAUUAUGCUUAGUGUUUGCAUGUGUGCUCAAUUCCAAGCGACACCAAAGGAGUCGCAUCACUUAGCUGUGAAGCGAAUUCUUCGAUAUUUGGCUCACACCCCAACUCUAGGAUUAUGGUAUCCAAAGGGCUCAGAGUUUGAUCUGGUUGGAUUCUCGGAUGCUGAUUAUGCUGGUGACAAAGUGGAUCACAAGUCUACAUCAGGCACAUGUCACUUUCUGGGACGAUCACUUGUAUGUUGGUCUUCAAAGAAGCAGAACUGUGUAUCUCUCUCCACUGCUGAAUCUGAAUACAUUGCUGCUGGAUCUUGCUGCGCUCAGCUUCUGUGGAUGAAGCAAACACUCAAGGACUAUGGCAUUCAUCUGAGGCAAGUGCCACUCUACUGCGACAACGAAAGCGCCAUCAAGAUUGCCAACAACCCAGUUCAGCACUCGAAGACAAAGCACAUUGAAAUUCGUCAUCACUUUCUCAGAGAUCAUGUUGUGAAGGAAGAUAUUGAUAUCAUACACGUCAACACUGAAGAGCAAUUGGCAGAUAUCUUCACCAAGCCCUUGGAUGAGAAGAGAUUUUGCAAGUUACGGUGUGAGCUAAAUAUCCUGGAAUCCUCAAAUGUCCUGUGAUCAGGCACACAUCCUAACACUUAUGCAUAUUGAUGACUUAGAUGUGCAACACACGAAGUAAAGUAUAUCUUCAAUCAAUGAAGACAUACAUUCUAAGUGUGAAUACAUUAAUGUGGAAUUUGACUUCGGAGCACCACGAUAAUUGUGCGUAGUGUCUGGUCUAAUACUUCCUAUACGGUGGGUAACGCCACCACCAAAUGUUCUGUUUGAAGUGUUUCACUCAUGGCGUUACAUUUGCUAUGUCUUCACAUUUGAUUUGGCUUCAAUCUCAACAUAUCUUCAUGAUUAUCUUCACUAUGUUGAUUAUAUAUAUAUAUAUACUAGUGUUCUGUCCUCUACAGCAUUCACUUAUAGCUAUGUCUUCUUGUUGAAUCUUUUGAACUAAGUGAAUGUGAUCGGACCCUAACCUCUCUAUGCUUUCUAUCUCAAACUCUAUCUCUCCAAAUCAUAUGCAUUCUAUUGAAACUGUCGAAUGUCUUCUCUGCGUCCUUGUCAGCAGAAGAUACAGAGACAACCAUUAAGUCCGUUUUCAAUGCUCAUUCCUCCACCUGAAACCCGGAGAAGUGGGAACGACCACCCGACAAUACAGGCAUGCGUGGGACGUGGAACAAACCCCAAUAUGCUGCAUGAUGGCCACGUGUUCCUCAGAUGUGAAUCGCCAGGGGCACCUGUGUAAUAACGCAGUGCCACCCCUGUACCUAUAAAUACACACCUCACAAUAGUCAUUAUCUCUUCUUCCACUCUCGCAUGAACCCUAGCGCCACCGCUAGCCCUCAACGACGCCGGCGAUGAAGCGCUUCGCUGCCGCAACCUAUCCGACGCCGUAUUCACGCCGACCGCGGACAUCGUCUUCUCCGCCGUCGCCGUAUGUGUCCUCCGUCGCCAAGUUAGGGCACGGACGAUUGAACUGCUCGGCCUCCUCUUCCACUCCGUCUAGCAGUUCUUUGUGUGGUAAAUAAAACCUCCUCUUUACAGCCUCUUUGAUCCUAUAGCUUUAUCACUUUCUACCACAAGCAGUUUCUAUUCACACAAGUUGGAUCUCUUUCAUACUGCAUCUCAUUACAUGCCUAGUAUAUUCACUUAUGCUUCACAAAGUAGUUAGAUUCCUCACUUGUACUGAUCCGUGGAUCCGUACAAAUCUGGAACCAACUCCUUAUCCAUGAGUGAAUAUCUUCGCACGAUGAGGUCAAUGUCUUCUAAACUGAUUUAUCUUCAAAAUCUUCUGAGAAUGCAUAUGACCUCUUCCCCUUCCCUCGCACCUUAAUGCUGUCACAGGUACAUGUCCGUGGGAGAAUCCCUUGGUUCUCAUAGUCUGCAUUCAUUUGCAGAAUUCUUACAGCAUCACAUAAAUUCUCCCGAAGCCAGUUCCUAUUUGUCCAGCAAGCGAAAACCUUUGAAGCCUCUGAACAUAUUGAAGCCUUUCAGUUUAAAGUUCAUGGCUUCAAAGAAAUCUGCAAGGAAGGGUGGCAGAAAGCGUCGAGGAGAAACAUCAAGAGAUCUGCCCGAUGACCUCUCAGAGCUGUACAAGACAGAUCCUAAAGAGGAUUACACUCAGCGCAAGACGCGAAUCCAAUGGAUUCGACGCUGUUGGGCAGAACAGUGGUUCAAGUACAGAUUUGUGACCAAGGAAUAUGCUGAAAAGAAUGCCAUCAAGCGACCAUGGGGAGACAUCCUCUACAAAAAUCUUCAACCCAGGACCAGAGAUGAAGCCAUUGAACAAGGCUUCUAUCCCUGCAUGGUCCGUGGACCACAGCCUGCGGAUGCCGACCCAUCGUCCCUGCUAUGGUGUCGCGACGACAAUCUGUUUAAGCACAACUUCCAGUUUGCCCAAAACUCAGCGAAGCAGAACAAGAAGACUUUGGGUUUAGAUUUCAACCCUGGUCCCUCUGCUCCCCGUGUCGAUGGAACUCGCGAAGCUGAACUCAAUCUUCUUGGGCCCUUCUUCAAUCUUGAAGGCCUCAUCACUCACAUCGUGGUUCAAGGGACAGCCGUGAAUGAGCCUGCAGAUGACGCUGAAUCAGAUGAAGCGCCUGCAGCACCGAAGCCAAAGAAGUUGAAGCAGCCAAAAGCUUCAAAGCCGGCCUCUGCACCAAAAAUCUCACGGGCGAAGCCACUGGCAACUGCACCUCCUGAAGACAGUGUGCAGUCUGAAGAUUUGUCACGCAUCUCGAAGCCCCAGAAGGUCAAGAUGCCUCUGCCACACACCGGCCAAGAGCUUACAGCUGCUGCCAUUCUGCGCAAUGAUGCCAUUGAUCUAUCAAGUGAUGAAGAUCUUGCAGAUGACACUCUUGAGAAACUCAUCAAGAGCAAAGAAGAAGAAGAAAUCUUCAAUGAUCUGCCUCUCUUUGAUGUGACAAUCAUCCACAACUUCAUUGAUGAGUGGUUUGACACGCCAAACAUCAGCUUCGAAGAUCUGCAGCUACCCAUUGGCCUUAGUGUCGCCUUCCAUGGCGCCAUUGCUUUAGAGCUAGCUCUCGCUCAACACAUCGUCGAACUGAAGCAAAAGAUUGACUAUGAAAAGGCUCAGUUCAAGAAGCAUAUGGCCAAGCUCAGCGUGCAAGAGGUGAAAAACUUCAAGAUUAUGCUGCACGAGCUGAAAUAAGCCUUUCUCAAGAAACGCGCAGAAGCUCAGGGUUCUCGUGAGCGCAUGAAGGUUCUGGCUGACAGAUGUGUGCAAGCCUACAAUGAGGCUGAGAAGCGCAAAGCCCUUGGGCGUCCUGGCAUUGACCCUAGGAUGGCUGCAAAGAAGAAGAAGAAGCCUGCUACGGCUGAACCCGACGCACCAAGGCAGGAAGCAGAUCGCAUUGUCUUCCCAACUAGCAUGACUGGCCCGAAGCCAAAGGCCAGGUCAACCGCCUCACAACGGAAGAAGAUGAGGACUGCUGAGGCUGAAGCCAGAAAAAGGAAACAUCCUGAAGCCUCUUCUACUGCCCCCUCCAAGAAGAAGAGGAAUACCAAGAAAGAACGGGCUGCUCCCACAGAGCCUUUGAUUGUUGAACCAAUUUCCAUGGUUUGUCCUGACGCUGAACGCCAACUGACAAUCCAUGAGCCUGCUUUCACAGAGGCUCAUGAAGCUGAAGACAUUGGUCACCAUGACCAUGUAGAAGAUGGUGCAGUCCUUCCUUAGCUCGAGCACAGCGAACUCAUCAGCAUUGGUCAUCCUCUGACGCCAAUUGCUCAGGAUGCUUCAUGGGCUGAUCGCCCACAAGAGGAAGAAGACUUUCAGGCCCAGCCAACUCCAACUACACAGGCGUCGCCUGCGUUACGCAGGCUUUGCAAAGGACCAAGGCCUCUAGUCUCUGCGUCUAAAGCUGAAACUGCUGAAGACAUUCCGGCUGCAUCAGCCGAUGAAGAAGUCCCACAAGCUGCUACUCCCCUGUCCCACCAAGAAGCGGUUCUCGAGGAGAAUGUGGUUGUGACCGACCCUCCAGCUUGUCAAGUGGAGGUUGAAAAUCUUGAGGCUGCCACCACCAACACCAAUGAAGCCACUGACGUUGUCAUGGCUGAAGCUAACGUGGAGCCCUCACCAACAAAAGCACCAGAAGUCAGUGAAGCCACUGAUCGCACUGCUUCUGUUCCUGCGCCUGCUGCCAGUCCUCAGUUCGACUAUCAUGUUGAGCACAUGCCUCAGGUACAGAAGCCAAUCCCAAGAUUGCCCAGGUUCCCAGGUCCUGCAUCAGCACCUGGAUCCUUCAAUAUCAAUGGCUUCAAAGCAAACAACACGUUCUUCAAUAGCUCUAGGAACCCCUACUCAAGGGAAAGAAUAUCAUCUGAUCGGUUCUGGAGCUAUCCGCAAUGAAGCUAUUACUCCUGCAUUCUUUACAAUCAAGGUCGCAUCUUCCCACACAAGCGUCUUGACAUUGAAGCAAUAGAUGGUCUGCCCUGUCUGGAAGAAGCUCUGGAUUGCUUCAAAGAGGUUGGAUUGCUACCGUUCGUCACUGACCAAGAGCAUUGGAAUGAAGAGUUGUUGCUCCAAUUCUAUGCCACACUUCACAUCCGCGGGUAUAACAGAGAUCCGAAGACUUGGGUCCUGGAGUGGAUGACAGGAAAUGUUCAUCACGAAGCCAAAGCCUUUGACAUCAUUGAGCUCACUGGUCUACCCACUCCCGGCGAGCUCUAUGAAUCUGGCUGUCAACUUCACAGUGAAGCUGUGGAGAGCAUCUUUCAGAAGCCUGAACCUAACAUGAGUCAGAUGCUCAGUAUGAUGAAGCCAUUACCCCAAGAUGCUGCAUAUCCCAAAGAGUUCUUUGUUGAAGACCUAGAGUAUCUGCCAAGGACUAUUUACCACAUCAUAAGGCGAACUCUCUGGCCCAUGAAAGGGCACUCUCCACAUGCCAAGCUGGAAGGUGCAAAGAAGACUUUAGUCUUCUAUAUUCUUCAUGGAAAAUGCUUCAAUGCACAGGACUUUUUCAUUCGCCAACUUGCUGCAUCAGCCUCUGAUCUGUUUGGAUUGAAGUUCUACGCCCCAUGGGUAAUGCGGCUGAUCAAACUUCACUCCGCUAUCUCAUAUCAGCCAUCUGCUUGCAAUCAUCGGAUUUUUCUGCCUGAUGUGGAUAUGUCUAUUGAAUCCAUCUAUCCUGAGCCCGCCAAGGAACCUCUAAGUCUUCAGAAUGCAGAGCAUCAAAGCUUUUCUUAGAACAUUGAGGGAAUUGAAGUAGUCACUCGUGUGUAUCCUUUGGCUGGCACUACACGUGCACCGCAUCCUGCUCUCACUGAAGCCACUAACAGUACAACUGCCCCAUGACCCAAGAAGCGCACUCGUGUUCUCAAUGACCGAGAGCUUCUUGUGGCUCUUCAUCAGAAACAGGAUAGGCAUCAUGACUGGCUGAAGUGUCAAAUGCAAAGCCUCUUGGUGGAUGUUAAUCGCAUUCGCAAUCUUGCCACCAAGAAUGCCUUUGUUGCCCAUGAAACCUCUUGACGUACAUGGAAAGGGCUGACGCUGAUGUGUUCUGAAGAUGAUCUUCAAGAGGAUGGCUUCUCUGAGCACUUCAAGUUUGACUCCACACCUCCUCGAAGGGCAGUGCUGCGACGAUCUCCAUCUCUUGAAGACUCUGAGUUCUCUUCCUCUGCUGCAACUGUAAAUGCCAGAGUGAUUGAGGAUGACGAAGAUGUUACUUCACCGCCACCUCCUUCAGCACGCUUCGACACUGCUUCAAGCUCUUCUUCACCGCCGAACACCACCAACGACCCUGCUGCUUCACCUACUCUUCAUGGGAACGAGUAGAGGCUCUAUGUCUUCAAACCUUUUUGGUCCUUACUGACAAAAGGGGGAGAAGCAUAUGAGUUUAAUAGUCUUCAAGCGGGUCCAUAUGGGCGGGUGCUUCAUAUUUUGCUUCGUGUUUACAACUCUCGUUUUGAUACAUUUGGUUCUUUGAGUUGUAACACUUAAACUCGAUGGUCGUCUGCUACCUAUUUGCCAUUUUGUGAUGCGAUGAUAAAUUCCGCAUGUGCGACGAUAAAUUCCGCACUUAGAUCAUUUUGCAGACGUCCAUUUUCCAUUAUGCAUGUCAUUAUCUUCACAUACCUUCACAUGCAUAGUGGAUUGUCAUCAUAAGUUGAAGAGGAUCUCCACAAGCACAACCUGCCAUGUGCAUUUGCAUUCCAAAAGCAAACUCCCUUGCAACUUAUGAAGACAAUUCCUUAUCCUUUACAAUUUCACCUAUUAUAUUCCCCGUUGAAAACUUCAACUAGUUUGUCAUCAAUCACCAAAAAGGGGGAGAUUGUAAGUGCAUCUAGUGCCACCUCUAGUUGGUUUUGGAGUAUUGACGACAAACCUAGUUGAGGGACUAAUGUGUUUGUGAGAAUUGUAGGAUAACACAGGUAGAAGUCCCUCAUUGAUUCGAUUUUCCUACCAGAGAUGACCCCUAAAAAUGUAUGAAGACAUUGAUGUCAAAGGUGGUAUAUGAAGAUAUUCACAUUGAAGACUAUGACAAGAGAAGACCUCGCAUGAAGCCUAUGGAGCUCGAAGACUUAGAUCUUUCAUAGUUCUUUUUCUUCUUCGUUGUUGACUCAUAGGAACCACCGUACUGUUAAGUGGGGUCCAAGAGAAUCAGUCAGAAUGACUGAAGUGAGGCUUAACCAAAACCUAUGUCUUCGAGUGAAGACUAUGAGAGAAAAUCUUGUGCAGAGUCGGACAAGUCAGCUUUGCUUGUAGCUCAAGUAAAGUUACCGUGUGAGUUUGAAAUCUGACCGUUGGAACACAUGUCAGUUCCUUAGUGACCCAGGGUCAUUUCAGACAAAUCAGGUCGGGUUGCCUAGUGGCUAUAAAUAGCCCACCCCCUACAACCAUAAAUGGUUGGCUGCUCAGAGUUAGUAUAUGGCUUUUGUCGUUUGAGAGCAACCCACCUCGAAGCCUUUGAGAGAGAAUUCCUUGCGAGGAUAAAAUCCUAACCACCCAGAGCCAAAGAGAAUUAGGCAUCACUUAAGUCUUCUUGUCUGUGUGAUUUGAAGACUUAUUACACUUGAGGACUGUGAAUCCUCCAGCCAGUUAGGCGUCGCGUUCUAAGCAUCCAAGAGACAUUGUGGAUUGCCGGUGAACGAAGUCUGUGAAGGUUUGGGAGUAUACCUUGAAGACUUACCAGAGUGAUUGGGCGAGGUCUGUGUGACCUUAGCUCAAGGGGAAUACGGUGAGGACUGGGUGUCCUCAGCUUUAAAUACCUAGCCGCCCUAACCAGACGUACAGUUGUCACAACAACUGGAACUGGUCCAACACAUCAUUGUCUUCAACGAGUCGCUGGUUUCAUCCUUCCCUUCUCUUUACGUAAUGUUACUCCUUGUGAAGUCAUUGUAUGAUUGCACUAUCUUUUAUCUUCACUGAAUGACUACGUGUUCUAUUUGGCUUCAUAAUAUCUUCCUACCUGAUCCUUACUACAUUGCUGCUAUUAGUCAUUGUGCUUUCACUCUAUUGAAUACUUGACUAUGGCUUGCCUAGUAUAGUCUACCUUCCGCUGCAGGGUAAUAGGAUUAUUUCUAUCGUUUGUCUUCAUAACUUCCACGUUUUGAAGACUUUCAUAAAAAUCGCCUAUUCACCCCCCCUCUAGUCGAUAUAACGCACUUUCACGACGGCAAAACUUUUCUUGCUAAAUUCGGAAACUUUCUAGAGAAGGAGUUUCUCUCGAAAGAAGUGAGUGGGAGGAAAGUAGAACUUGAUGAGGUAACUGUACCUGCUCCAUUAUUGGAAAGUAGUACAUCACAGAAACCAGUUUCUGUGACACCUACACCAAUUAGUGAGGAAGCUAAUGAUGAUGAUCAUAAAUCUUCAGAACAAGAUACUACUGAACCUCGUAGAUCAACCAGAGUAAGAUCCGCACCAGAGUGGUACGGUAAUCCUGUUCUGGAAGUCAUGCUACUAGAUCAUGAUGAACCUACGAACUAUGGAGAAGCGAUGGUGAGCCCAGAUUCUGCAAAAUGGCUUGAAGCCAUGAAAUCUGAGAUGGGAUCCAUGUAUGAGAACAAAGUAUGGACUUUGGUGACUUGCCCAAUGAACGGCAAGCAAUUGAGAAUAAAUGGAUCUUUAAGAAGAAGACUGACGCUGACAGUAAUGUUACUGUCUACAAAGCUCGACUUGUCGCAAAAGGUUUUCGACAAGUUCAAGGGAUUGACUACGAUGAGACCUUCUCACCCGUAGUGAUGCUUAAGUCUGUCCGAAUCAUGUAAGCAAUUGCCGCAUUUUAUGAUUAUGAAAUUCCUGAAUGGAUUUCUGCAAGAAGAGUUAUAUAUGAUGCAACCGGAAGGUUUUGUCGAUCCAAAGGGAGCUAACAAAGUAUGCAAGCUCUAGCGAUCCAUUUAUGGACUGGUGCAAGCCUCUCGGAGUUGGAAUAAACGCUUUGCUAGUGUGAUCAAAGCAUUUGUUUUUGUACAGACUUUUGGAGAAGCCUGUAUUUACAAGAAAGUGAGUGGGAGCUCUGUAGCAUUUCUGAUAUUAUAUGUAGAUGACAUAUUACUAAUCGGAAAUGAUAUAGAAUUUCUGGAUAGCAUAAAGGGAUACUUGAAUAAGAGUUUUUCAAUGAAAGACCUCGGUGAAGCUGCUUACAUAUUGGGCAUUAAGAUCUAUAGAGACAGAUCAAGACGCUUAAUUGGACUUUCACAAAGCACAUACCUUGACAAAGUUUUGAAAAAGUUCAAAAUGGAUCAAGCAAAGAAAGGAUUCUUGCCUGUGUUACAAGGUGUGAAAUUGAGUAAGACUCAAUGCCCGACCAAUGCAGAAGAUAGAGAGAAAAUGAAAGAUGUUCCCUAUGCUUCAGCCAUAGGCUCUAUCAUGUAUGCAAUGCUGUGUACCAGACCUGAUGCGUGUCUUGCUAUAAGUCUAGCAGGCAGGUACCAAAGUAAUCCAGGAGUGGAUCACUGGACAGCGGUCAAGAACAUCCUUAAAUACCUGAAAAGGACUAAGGAUAUGUUUCUCAUAUAUGGAUGUGACAAAGAGCUCAUCGUAAAUGGUUACGUUGAUGCAAGCUUUGACACUGAUCCGGACGAUUCUAAAUCGCAAACCGGAUACGUGUUUACAUUAAACGGUGGAGCUGUCAGUUGGUGCAGUUCUAAACAAAGCGUUGUGGCGGGAUCUACAUGUGAAGCGGAGUAUAUUGCUGCUUUGGAAGCAGCAAACGAAGGAGUCUGGAUGAAGGAGUUCAUAUCCGAUCUAGGAGUCAUACCUAGUGCAUCGGGUCCAAUGAAAAUCUUUUGUGACAAUACUGGUGCAAUUGCCUGGGCAAAGGAAUCCAGAUUUCACAAGAGAACCAAGCACAUCAAGAGACGCUUCAAUUCCAUCUGGGAUCUAGUCCAGGUGGGAGACAUAGAGAUUUGCAAGAUACAUACGGAUCUGAAUGUAGCAGACCCGUUGACUAAGCCUCUUCCACGAGCAAAACAUGAUCAGCACCAAAGCUCCAUGGGUGUUAGAAUCAUUACUGUGUAAUCUAGAUUAUUGACUCUAGUGCAAGUGGGAGACUGAAGGAAAUAUGACCUAGAGGCAAUAAUAAUGUUAUUAUUUUAUUUCCUUAUAUCAUGAUAAAUUUUUAUUAUUCAUGCUAGAAUUGUAUUACCCGGAAACAUAAUACUUGUGUGAAUACAUAGACAAACCAAACGUCACUAGUAUGCCUCUACUUGACUAGCUCAUUAAUCAAAGAUGGUUAUGUUUCCUAACCAUAGACAUGUGUUGUCAUUUGAUUAACGGGAUCACAUUAUUAGGAGAAUGAUGUGAUUGACAUGACCCAUUCCAUUAGCUUAGCACCCGAUCGUUUAGUAUGUUGCUAUUGCUUUCUUCAUGACUUAUACAUGUUCCUAUGACUAUGAGAUUAUGCAACUCCCAUUUGCCGGAGGAACACUUUGUGUGCUACCAAACGUCACAACGUAACUGGGUGAUUAUAAAGGAGCUCUACAGGUGUCUCCAAAGGUACAUGUUGGGUUGGCGUAUUUCGAGAUUAAAAUUUGUCACUCCGAUUGUCGGAGAGGUAUCUCUGGGCCCUCUCGGUAAUGCACAUCACAUAAGCCUUGCAAGCAUUUCAACUAAUGAGUUAGUUGCGAGAUGAUGUAUUACGAAAUGAGUAAAGAGACUUGCCAGUAACGAGAUUGAACUAGGUAUUGAGAUACCGACGAUCGAAUCUCGGGCAAGUAAAAUACCGAUGACAAAGGGAACAACGUAUGUUGUUAUGCGGUCUGACCGAUAAAGAUCUUCGUAGAAUAUGUAGGAGCCAAUAUGAGCAUCCAGGUUCCGCUAUUGGUUAUUGACCGGAGAUGUGUCUCGGUCAUGUCUACAUUGUUCUCGAACCCGUAGGGUCCGCACGCUUAAGGUUUCGAUGACAGUUAUAUUAUGAGUUUAUGAGUUUUGAUGUACCGAAGUUAGUUCGGAGUCCCGGAUGUGAUCACAGACAUAACGAGGAGUCUCGAAAUGGUCGAGACAUAAAGAUUGAUAUAUUAGACGGCUAUAUUCGGACACCGGAAGUGUUCCGGGUGAUUUCGGAGAAAACCGGAGAGCCAGAGGGUUACUGGAACCCUACCGGGAGAAGUAAUGGGCCAUAUGGGCCUUAGUGGAGAGAGAGAGGGGCAGCUAGGGUGGGCCGCGCGCCUCCUCCCCCUGGUCCGAAUUGGACUAGGAGAGGGGGGCGGCGCCCCCCUUUCCUUCUCCCUCCCCACUUCCUCCCCCCUCCUAGUAGGAGUCCUACUCCUACUAGGAGGAGGACUCCUCCUGGCGCGCCAAUAGAGGCCGGCAGGCCUCCUCCCCUUGCUCCUUUAUAUACGGGGGCAGGGGGCACCCCUAGACACACAAGUUGAUCCACGUGAUCAUAUUCUUAGCCGUGUGUGGUGCCCCCUUCCACCAUAAUCCUCGAUAAUAUUGUAGCGGUGCUUAGGCGAAGCCCUCGACGGUAGUACAUCAAGAUCGUCACCAUGCCGUCGUGCUGACGGAACUCCACCCUGACACUUUGCUGGAUCAGAGUCCAGGGAUCGUCAUCGAGCUGAACGUGUGCUAAAACUCGGAGGUGCCGUAGUUUCGGUGCUUGAUCGGUCGGGCCGUGAAGACGUACGACUACAUCAACCGCGUUGUGAUAACGCUUCCGCUGUCGAUCUACAAGGGUACGUAGAUCACACUCUCCCCUCUCAUUGCUAUGCAUCACCAUGAUCUUGCGUGUGCGUAGGAAAAUUUUGAAAUUACUACGUUCCCCAACAGUGGGAGGGCCCAUUUAGGAUUUCCUGUGUCUCCAGGCCUGGCGUCGCGCGCCUGGAGACACUGGACGGGAUCCCCAUCCAGAACGCCUGGAACAUCCAGCACCUCCGGAAGUUCUACCCAUGAAGCAAGGCCCAGCGCCUGUGAAGCAGGGCCCCGUGCCUGUGAAGGUCUUCGCUUGUGACACUCUCACGUAAUAAUGAGUGGGGCUGUACACGCCCCGGAGUCUCAGGAGUACCGCCCUCGGGCCUCGGGGGCUCCCUCCCACAUCUUAGUGGCAGCACUUAGCUCCGCGCUAGUGAGAAGACUAGACUAGGUGCCGGACGCGGAUUUUCAUUUGCUUUCUGUACUUGGCUUGCCCCCUUUUUCUUAAUGGAGGUUCACAUUCUAGUUUUUCUUGUCCUCUUGGUUCGAUCGCCUUUUCCUUUGUUCUUCCUUGGAUCUUUGUUUUGGUCCGUGCUCUCCCUCGCAUGCCUCGUGAGGGGGCUGUACAGGUGCCCUCGUGAGUGUUUUUCCUAUUCUUCACGAGGCACCCUCGCCCGAGCCCGCAAGCUGGCGCACCUCUCUCAAUCCGUGACACUCGGUUACCGUGAUAUGAAGCGCUGGGUCGUGGCCAUCGGCACCUGUGACCAGGAUUCAGAAGAAUAAGAGUUUCCUAACGAAUUUUUGCAGUUCCUAGACGCCUCCCGAGCAAAGGAGGCCUCGCGAGGCACUGGGAAAUGUGCGCCUCACGAGGCGGAAACUACUUCAGACACAUCAAGCUAAGUCAUCUCUACACACCUACGUAAAACGCUGGUACCACAACAUGACGCAGGGAUGAUAACCACAACAUAGCGACUUGGAAAUCAUGGUUCAUUACACGCCCCUGCAGGGCCCAUACUUGCUUCUUCUUCUUAAAUGCACGAAGGAAAGACCAAAACAAAGUGGUGUGUGCCCCCGCAGCUGCUCGCAAGGACGGGCCCAUGGCGCUCUCCUGGGCUCAGCCAGACCCCUCCUCGCGCUUCACUGGAGCGCGGCGACAAGACGACCCGCUGCCACCCUCGAAACGGGCGCGACGGUUGGUUAUAGCCGCUGCUGCUGGAGCUGUCACUAGAGGAGGAGCCACCGUAGCUGGACAAGCCGCGGCCAGCGCCAAGGAUGAAGCCACCUCCAUCCUCAUCACGAGUAUCGCCAAGGCCGAGCACCUCGUUGACAUCGUUGUCCUCGGGGUAGCACCCGAUGCGGUAACCAUCUUCCCUGAAUACGCGCACGUAGAGGGUCGCAUCGCCGUCGUACUUGAAGUGGAGGGCACACCGCCUGCCUAGGCUGCGCGCGCGGGCAAACGUCUGCCAGCCGCGGGCCAGGGCUGCGUUGCCUGCGCCGGAUACUUCCACUGCGACCCAUGAAGUCUUUCUACAGGAGUCGUCCGCCUGCAGCCAGAGACCGCCUAGACCCGUGGCCGGCAGUUCACUGGCGAACAAGUGCGGGAGCUGAAGCCAGGUGCCAGCCGGGCUCUCCGACCACACGAUGAACUCCGGCAUCACCUCCGCCGAAUGGAAGCGCGGCCGAGGAGGCCGCGCAACCAUGGCACGCCUCACUUCAUCGAUGGGACUGCCACGACCUGGGCGACUCCCGCCGCACGGGGAGGCGCCGCCGCUGCCGUGAGGUGCCACAGUGGGGGUCACGGCGUGCUUGCGCGGGCGACCACGCCCCUCUUGGGUGGCAGCAGAGCCGGGCCCCUCCUGCUGGGCCUUGCCCUUUUCUGCGACUGAGAACCUCUUUGCCGGCCCCUUCUAGCGGGCCUUCCCCUUCUCUACGGCUGAGAACCUCUUCGCCGGCGCCAUGAAUGUCACGGAAGCAAGGAAGAAGAAGGAGCAGGAGGAGCGAAGGAAGAGAUGGGUGACGGGGGAUCCGCUCCCCUUCCCAUUUAUAAUUAAGAGGAGGCGAACUGCCGACCUCCAUGAUCUAAGGUAAUAAUGACCUUUUUCUGCAUGAAGUAGGGACUCGUCAAGUCAGGCAGUUGCCGAGGCAGCGUGGGGAAGCGGAGACACCCACGUCCAAUCAAUCGCCAUGCGUCAACCGAGGCCGCAGGCUAUUGGGGCCUGCGGCGCUCCGCACUUGUCCUUUGGCUUCGCCCUGAAGCCAAGUCCGAGCGCGCCUUCGGCCCAGGGGCUACUGUAGGCGUCCUGGGAACGGGGCUCCCCAGACUUGACUGCCUGCAGCCCACGGCGUGGCUCCACCAGCGGCCCCGUACGACCCAUCUUCACCAGGAAAACACUCAAGACCCUCGCGAGGGGCCAAGCCUCGCGAGGCGGACGACAUAAGACCUCCUCGGGGGUGGCCUCACCAGGUUGGCUCGCGAGGGGCGGAGAUAUCAAGGCAAGGGGCGCCUCGUGAGGUUCCUGUGACGCAAGCCAUGACAACCAGGGCCAGGCGGGCGCCAACACGCGUAGUGUCCUCGCUUCCUCUUUGGUGUUAAAGAGGCAAGCCCAGGCGCGGUUUCCCGAGGCGUCAAGCAAAGGUUUCCGUAUCGGUGCAACAAGACCAAGACCAGCAGGACGGUAGGACGGACAUCACCGUGGAGCCCAAGACGGUGUCAGCAUCAGAGCCUUUGGCAGGCGAAGACCAUCUUUUGUCAGGAUAGCUUGUACUAGCUGCCCCCUUCAAAUUGGCCAUUGUGGGAUCCCUUCCCGCCUAAUAUUUUGGAAGAGGACCCGUGCCUCUAUAAAUAGGGCUCGCCACCACCAUAGCCAAGGACCGGCUCAUCGAGAGAUGCAAGGCUCAUCUCAUCUUGGACCGGAUCCUUUCCACCAAGGCCACACACAAACUCACCAAGCACGAGAGCACCUCUCCUUUGGAGGUUGUUCUUCCCUUGUAACUGUUCAUCCUCAUCCCAAGAGGCAAUCCACCACACCACACUGGAGUAGGGUAUUACACCACAUCGGUGGCCCGAACCAGUAUAAAUCUCGUGUCCCUUUGUUCUGCGAGUUCGACGAGCUAAGCCUUGAGAUUGCGGUGAGGGCGUGAGCUAGUGGGAGGACAGAUCUUCGUGCGCACCCUAGUGUUCGAACCUCAAGGGUUUUGCCCAAUCACGAAAUCCGACAGUCACUAGCAUCACACAUAAUUUCAAAAGGAAAGUUCCAAUUAGGUGGUUGAACAAUAGGUGUAUAGGUUAAGUCUUUCUUAAGUAUUUCAAAGGCUUCUACACAAUCAUAAUUAAAAACAAAUGGAACAUAUUUUUUGCAAAAGAUUAGUAAGAGGCCUCAAAAUUUUGCAGAAGUCUUUGAUAAACCUUCUAUAAAAACUAGCAUGACUAAGAAAAAUUCUUGUACCUUUCAUAUCUUUAGGACAUGGCAUUUCUAAAUUGCAUCAACCUUAGCUUUAUCUAACUUAAUACCUCUUUCAAAAAUUUUAUGCCCAAGGACAGUACCUUCAUUCACCAUAAAGUGGCACUUCUCCCCAUUCAAGAUAAGAUUUGUUUAUUCACAUCUCUGCAAAACUCGAUCAAGGUUGCUCUAUAAAUCAUCAAGAGAAGUCCCAUAGACAGAAAAAUCAUCCAUGAAUACCUCAACAAUCUUUUCACAAAAAUCAAAGAAUAUAGUAGUCAUACAUCUUUGAAAGGUAGUAGGUGCAUUGCAUAAACCAAAAGGCAUACGUCUAUAAGCAUAUCCAAAGGACAAGUAAAAGUGGGUUUCUCCUGAUCCUCUUGUGAUACAGGUAUUUGAGAAAAACCAGAAUAACCAUCCAGCAAGCAGAUGUGUGUAUGCUUAGACAAUCUCUCUAACAUUUGAUCAACAAAAGGCAAGGGGUAAUGAUAUUUUCUAGUAGCUUUAUUUAAUUUCCAGAAAUAAAUUACCAUCCUAUAACCAGUCGAUAAAUUCAUUUUUAUCAUUAGGAAUAACAUUAAUGCCUCCUUUCUUAGGGACAUGAUGAACGGGUCUUACCCAUCUACUAUUAGCUAUGGGAUAAAUUAUAUAUGCUUCCAGAUGCUUUAAUAUUUUAGUUCUUACCACAUCCUACAUCUUAGGAUUCAACCAUCGUUGAUGAUCAACAACUGGCUUAGCAUCAGGCUCCAUAUUAAUCUUGUGCUGACAUAGAGUGGGACUAAUGCCCUUAAGAUCAUCAAGAGUAUAUCCAAUAGCUGCAUGGUGCUUCCUCAAAGUUUUAAGUAAUCUCUUUUCUUCAUGCUUUGAAAGGUUAGCUCUAAUAAUAACAUGAUAUAUCUUAUUUUCAUCAAGAUAAGCAUAUUUCAAUGUGUCUCAUAGUUGCUUUAAUUCAAACACGGGAUCACUCUUAGGUGCAAGAGGGUCUCCAAGACUUUCAACUAGCAAGUUAUGUUUAAGGAUAGGUACUUGUUUGAAUAAUAUAUCAUCUAUUGCAUUCCUUUCAUUCAUAUGCAUAUCAUUUUCAUGGUCUAGCAAAUAUUGUUCUAAAGAAUCGGUAGGAGGAGGAACAAUAGAAGCAAGACUAAUAAUUUCAUCAUUACAAGACAAUUCUUUUACAUGAGUUUGUCUAUGAAACUUAGAAAAAUUGAACUCAUGAGAUACAUCACCAAAUUUAACUCUAAUCUUCUCUUUAACACAAUCAAUUUUAGCAUUAACAGUAUUCAUGAAAGGUGUACCAAAUAUAAUGGGACAAAAAAUUUGUUAUUGUGAACCAAGUACUAAGAAAACAUUAGGGUAUUUGAUCUUUCCACACAAGACUUCAACAUCUCGAACAAUCCCAAGCGGUGAAAUAGUAUCUCUAUUUGCUAGCUUAAUAGUAACGUCAAUAUCUUCAAUCUCAGCAGGUGCAAUAUCAUUCAUAGUUUCUCGAUAUAGAGUAGACGGAAUGGCAUUAACACUAGCACCCAUAUCACAUAAACCAUGUGUGGCACCCCGGCUCAGAGCAACCGGUUUACCCUGCAUUGCCAGCUCAGAGACCAUGUCUUCUGGCAACACACAACAUCUUGGUACAGAAAACAACCACUUUGUUGACGCUAGCGGAUCAAAUUUUACAUUACAACAGGUAGCGAGGCCAAGCGGCACACACGGUGCGGUUGAACAAUAUGUACAUUAUUUAGUGGACAUAAAGGCCUCGAUCAUAACAACUACGCGGCAGCGGAACAACGUCGUAGCGGAAGAUCCAUAGCACAGGGACACCGAUGUGGACACGAUCUAGACUCGGACAGCACUCCUCUCCAACAAGGCUUUUCUGAAAUCUGGCAUGACACGCCAGGUCAGUACAUUGAAUGUACUUGCAAGUGCACAACAUACAUAAACAUAAUGACUAAAAAUAUCAUGAUAUUUAACCAAUUAUCAAUAAUGCAACAAUAUAUUCAACAUGUUGUGAUCAUAUUCUUGUGAGAAAAAAAUUCCUCUUACCAACGGUGAUCACUUCCUGGAUCACCACCGUACGAACCUCAAAAUCUUAACCAUGAAUAUCUCGUGAUUCUUUCGGCGAUCACAACCUCGACCCAUACUAGGUCUAACACAAUGAUCCUUCCGACGAUCACAACCACGACCAACACUUGGUCAUGUCCAACCCGAUGGCCUUCCCGCCAUCCUCAACAGUGCAGAGUUUAGAACAUAGUGUGCAAGUUUUAUUAAAUGUUGACCCAUGGUAUGACCUACUUUUGAGCGUGUCCGUAACCGUGGACUCGGCUAUCAAUAGAUUAAUACACUCUGUAGAGGUAGCGCACUGUACCCACACCACGGAACCCAUGGCCUCGUACUCCCAUUCGGGUGGACCAACGACAUUCCGAAUAAACCACUCCAUUGCCAUGACACUCUCUCGGCCACUCCGGCCCACUCCCAACUGGGCUAGUCCUGGGUGGCCCCGUGUCUACCAAAGACACAACGACCACCGUCGUGGCCAAAACGUCCCUCACGGGGACCGUCCCUCACAGGGACCGGUAUCAAAAAUCUCAACAACGGGCACACAAGUUUAUGUAUGCUUACCGGGCCAGGGUACCGCACGCCCAUAACCUUCACUGGUUGGAGGCACCGACCAGAGGUAUGACAAUGGACCGAAUAAAGGCCUUCCCAUACAGGAAAAUGUGGUUGCACUAGGAAAAACUCGAUUCAGUGGCACCAUGACCCAUUCAACGAUAUAUUCAAGUUGUAUUAUUAUCAGGUUCAACUUAAAUUGAAAAUAACCGGUGUCAUAGUAUGCCAUGAAGUGCAACAAUAACAUAUGCAUCACAUAUUAAUGGAAAAGACUGAGUCAACUAUAUCCACACUAAGCAUAACCAUCAACAACUCUUGACACUCCUCUAGUCAAGAUUAAACCUGACAUUAAACAUAAUCUUUUCUAACAAGCUUUAUCAUUUUUCUCAUGCAAGAGAAAUAACUUCAAUUAAUACUUAUAUCCAUAACCAUAUUAUUUCUUCCAUAGCAAAAAUUAAUUCUAGUCUAUUUAUCAACUUAGUUAGCUUUAAACUUUCUUUAACACAAGCAUAUUAACUUGAACAAGCAUUAACAGAAUAUGAAUAACACAACAAUGAUCUAUAUGCAUGGAUUAAACAAUUCAUUCAAGUAGGAAAAUCACAAAUAUUGCAAUGGCACCAUGAACAUGUUGCUGUGGCUUGCCUUAGUGCAGAUGAGGUUCACAAGCCUCCUGGUGAUCCUCAAGACAAGCUUCACUAUUCUGAAAACAAUUACAAACACAAAAAGAAAUCAUCAAGAACCCUUCUGAAAAUCACCAUAAAAUCUAGACAGUAGGGAAAAAUCCCAUUUUUGGUGAGCUGCUAGAUUUCUUUGCAAAGAACACAAUGCAAAAAGAAUCAAUCCAUUUGGACUUAUGGUUGAAAAGUUAUAGUUGUUUGAAGCUCUCUAGAUAAAUAUGAAUUUGAAUUUAAAUAAACAGACUGGAGGGGGGGGGUGACGUCGAAGGCGUAAAGCCUCGGGGUGCCACCACUCGUACCGCUUCACGCACGUACUGAGUGGCUGACUAGCGGGCCCCACUAGUCAGAUGAGGGGGAGAGGGGAAAGGAGACAGGGGCGACACGGCUUUGCCAGAGCAAAUGCCGGCGACGAGGGCUCCUUGGCGAAAACGAGAGAGAGGAGACUGAGGCGCACCUCACGGGGACCGGUACCAAAAAUCUCAACAACGGGCACACAAGGUUAGGUCUGCUUACAGGGCCAGGGUAUCUCACGCCCAUAACCUUCCCUGGUUGGAGGCAUCGACCAGAGGCAUGACAACGGACCAAAUAAAGGCCUUCCCAUACAGGCAAAUGUGGUUGCACUGGGGAAAACUUGAUUCAGUGGCAGCAUGACCCGGUCAAUGAUAUAUUCAAGUUGUAUUAUUAUCAGGUUCAAAUUAAAUUGAAAAUAACCGGUGUCAUAGUAUGCCAUGAAGUGCAACAAUAACAUAUGCAUCACAUAUUAACGGAAAAGACUAAGUCAACUAUAUCCACACUAAGCAUAACCAUCAACAACUCUUGACACUCCUCUGGUCAAGAUUAAACCUCACAUUAAACAGAAUUUUUCUAACAAGUUUUAUCAUUUUUCUCAUGCAAGAGAAAUAACUUCAAUUAAUUACUUAUAUCCAUAACCAUAUUAUUUCUUCCAUAGCAAAAAUUAAUUCUAGUCUCUUUAUCAACUUAGUUAGCUUUAAACUUUCUUUAACACAAGCAUAUUAACUUGAACAUGCACUUAACAGAAUAUGAAUAACACAACAAUGAUCUAAAUGCAUGGAUUAAAUCAUUCAUUCAAGUAGGAAAAUCACAAAUAUUGCAAUGGCACCAUGAAAAUGUUGAUGUGGCUUGCCUUAGUGCGGAUGAGGUUCACAAGCCUCCUGGUGAUCCUCAAGACAAGCUUCACUGCUCUGAAAUCAUCAAGAACCCUUCUUAAAAUCACCAUACAAUCUAGACAGCAGGAGAGAAUCCCAUUUUUGGUGAGCUGCUAGAUUUCUUUGCAAAGAACACAAUGAAAAAAGAAUCAAUUCAUUUGGACUUAUGGUUGAAAAGUUAUAGUUGUUUGAAGCUCUCUAGAUAAAUAUGAAUUUGAAUUUAAAUAAACAGACUGGAGGGGGGGGGGGUGACGUCGAAGGCGUAAAGCCUCGGGGAGCCACCACUCGUACCGCUUCGCGCGCGUACUGAGUGGCUGACUAGCAGGCCCCGCUAGUCAGAUGAGGUGGAGAGGGGAAACGAGACAGGGGCGGCACGGCUUCGCCAGAGCAAACGUCAGUGACGAGGGCUCCUUCGCCAAAACAAGAGGGGCGGAUCGAGAGAGGAGACUGAGGUGCACCUGCCCAUACCCGUAGAGUAGCUAGGGGUGGUCGGACGGUGUCGGAAUCUUCCUCUCUAGUGGAGACAGGAAGCAGAGCUCGCCGGGGACGAAGACGAUAACGAGCAGAGGCGACUCCAGGGGAUCCAACCGGGCGGAACGGCACCACCGUAGAGUGGCGGAGGCCCUGGAAGGAUUUCCCAGGCCUGGGAGGGGCCGGAGCUACGGGGACGACCCGAGGGGAUCGCCGGCGAGCUCGAGCUCGGGGACGGCGUCCCGCGGCCUGCCCGGCCGGGUUACGGUCCUCUACUAGGUUGUGGAGUGUGUGGAAGUGGUGGAUGAUGCUCGAGGAGGCUGGGGGAGGGCUCUAUUUAUAGCCGAGCGUCGAGGGGGGUUCAGGCUCUGCCCGUGGACACCUGGACACGGCGCCCGACGAUGAGCGGCGUCAGUGAGAGAGGGAGAAGGAGACGGAGCUCACGCGGGGACUGUGGGUGAACGGGGACGAGCACAGGGGCACUGGGGUGACGACGAGCACAGUGCACAACACACUGUUUCGUUGGCCGGACCGUGCCCGUGCUCGCUGCGGCGAGCUCCGUCGUCGGUGAGUGCCAGGGGAGAGUUAAUGGGGCUAAGACAAAGAUGGUGGUGAGGUUUGGCACACUUAGGCAGGCGGGGAAGCGAGCACGCGAUCAACAGAGGCUCGGGCCCAUCGCAGAGCAUGUCGGUUGCAUGCCAGCACGCCUGGAUGAACGCGGUCACCGCGUGAACUCUGACCUCAUGCCGAUCUAAGCCCAAACUUCAUGUCUGGCAUGUUGUUCAUGGUAGUUUUGAAUGUUACCAUGCUUUGGUUUGGAUCCAGACGCAGUAGAAAAGAUUUCACAAGGCAAGUAAGUUUCUGAUCAGUAACUUUGAGAGCUUACUGUGGCCAAAUGGCUGGGAGUUGGGAGCUGAGUUUUGGAGGGUAGCAAUCAUCUACUAAGGUGAUGAUGCACAAGAAACAUCAGCCCCAAAGGAGCAAGUAAAAUAGUAGUUGCUGUAGAAACUACCAUUUCUGUCCAGAACAGAAAAUAUUUUCUGUAGCAAAAAUAUUCCAAAAAGACAUGCAAUAUUUUUGCUCAGGAAGGUGCAUAGGGUUCCAAGAAUAUUUGUGAAUUUUCUCAGAUUUUUGUGGGCAAGAAAAAAUGGGGUUGCUUUGGAGCACAUUGAUCUAGCUAGGGUUUAAGAGAGGGAAAUGAAUAUUUUUCAUUAAGGAAAAAUAUUCGAAAUAUUAUUUUGAGAUGAACCAGAGGGUAAAUGGUGGUUAGAUAGGGAAAUGGGACACUUGGGUGAAAGCCAAGGGGUACCCAAGUGUUUAAGUCCAUAUUAAAAGAUUCAAAAACUCCAAAUUUCAAAAUCAAACCACUGAAAAUCAGGCAAAUAAAGGAGGGCAAAAACCAGGCUGUCACACUAUGAUAGCAAUGAUCUCCAAUUUUAACAAAAACAACAGGCAUGCCCACUACGGGUUUAUUCUUAUCUAGCAUUUCACGUUCAUUUCUAACGGGUUUAGCAAUUCUAGCAACAUCAUCGCAAAAAUAAAUCACAUGCCCAUCAAUAUUAUCAACCAAGAGAUCUUUAAGCAUGCAAUAUUAGGUUCAACUUUAAUCCGAUUAGAGGUUCUAGGUGUUCUAAUAUUACUUUUAUUAACCACUAUUUUAGCUUUACCAUGUUCCUUAAUCCUAACGGGAAAAGGGAAUUUCUUAAUAUAAGUAGUAGGCACAACUAUAUCAACAUUGUAAACGAUUGUUUCAUCUUUAGCUAUAAUGGGUUCCUCAAUUAUUUCCUCAAUAGGUGGAUGAUACUUAAACCACUUCUCCUUAGGGAGAUCAACAUGAGUAGAAAAGAUUCACAAAAUGUAGCUACUAUCUCAGAGUCAAGUAUAUUUAGUACUAAACUUAUGAAAAGCAUCAGUUUCCAUAAAAGAUUUAACACAAUCAAACUCAAGAUUUAUACCUGACUCUUUACCUUUGUCGAAUUCCCAAUAUUUAGAGUUGUGUUUAAUUCUUUCCAAGAGAUUCCACUUAAAUUCAAUAGUAUUCUUCAGAAAAGAACCAGUAGAAGAAGAAUUGAGCAUCAUCGAUCAUUAUGAGAAAGCCGAACAUAAAAAUUCUGAAUAAUAAUUUCUCUUGGGAUCUCAUGAUUGGGGCAUGUGUGCAUCAUGUAAUUAAGCCUUCCCCAAGCUUGAGCGAUACAUUCUCCUUCACGGUGCCAAAAAUUAUAUAUAUAAUUCUGAUCACGACGAACCAGAUGCAUGUGAUAAAAUUUCUGAUGAAAUACAAUUUCGGCUGGUUCGAAUCCCAUGUUCCAGUAUCAUCCAAUAUCAUAUACCAUGUCGAGGCCUUCCCCUCCGAAGAUAAAGGGAAUACCUUCUUCUUAAAUCCAUCCUCGGGUAAACCUGCAAGAUUAAACAAUCCACAAAUUUCAUCUAUAUAUAUCAAGUGCAUAUCAGGAUGUACCAUUCCAUCUCCCGCAUAAGGAUUAGCUAGCAGUUUCUCUAACAUACCGGAAGGAAUCUCAUAGUAAAUAUUUUCAGUAGGUUCAGUAGGUUGAGGAGCUACUCUUAUUGCUUCCAGUUGAGGUGAAGAUACCCCCAACAAACCCCUCAAAGGAUUACUUUCCAUAGUGAAAAUGAUAGUAAAUUUCAGCACUCAGUAUAAAUGUUUACUUACCAAAGGCGCUUCAGUCACUGACAAUGUGCCAGAAAAGAGUCUUGAUGUCCCACAAGUAUAGGGGAUCAAUCAUAGUCUUUUCCAUAAGUAAGAGUGUCAAACCCAAUGAGGAGUUGGAAGAAACGACAAGCGGCUUUUGGCAAGGUAUUUUCUGCAAGCACUGAAAUUAUCGGUAACAUAUAGUUUGAUAGCAAGGUAAUUCGUAACAAGUGACAGGUAACGAUAGUAACAAAGGUGAAGCAAGGUAUCCCAAUACUUUUUAUAUCAAAGGACAAGCCAGAAUUUUCUCUUAUAGCAAGCAAAGCGUUCUUGAGGACACAUGGGAAUUCAUCUAGUCACUUUCAUCAUGUUUAUUUGAUUCGCGUUCGCUACUUUGAUAAUUUGAUAUGUGGGUGGAUUGGUUCUUGGGUGCUAUUCUUACUUCAAAAAGCCUCGCAAUUAUGAUUACCCCCUCUCGCAGGCACACUACCGCAGGAUGCUGCUAACACGACACUACGAUCAGAGACCCUUCAACGAAACUGUGUGUGAUGCUAUAAUCACAAACGGUGGUGUAAAAAACCGUCAAAAAAGGUGCAAAACAUUUGCGAUGGAGGAUGCAUCAAACACGGUUCAGAUUUUAGUUGCAUGUGCGAUGCAGGGCAUAUGGUUCAUCUCAAUUAAGUGUUUGCGAUGAGGAGGAACAAAAGAAACGAGCAGCCAGAUGAAGGUGUGUGCGAUGUACAGCAUAUAGUUCACUCGGAUGAAC